rnacentral:lncRNA from 1 species
GCCUUCAUUGUAGAACCAAUGCGCAACACCAGCUGGCAGUGCAACGAUAUCUCCUUGUCUAAAUUGGUGGAUCUUUUGGUGCUCAUCCCUAAAUUUUUGGCUCUGGCUUUGGCCUUCAGGCAAGAAUUGUUGGAAUUGUUGUUGGUAGGUUGCUGGGCAGCCGGGGAAAGUUAAUCCCAUAGAACCUCUCCCUGAAAGUUAGAAAUGUCCAUGUCAGGUGGAUAUAACCUAAAACGACAUUAUUGUAACAUGGAGAAUCAUAAUUUGUACCCAUAUGAACAAUGUAUUCCGCUAUACAAACCUUGGAUGAUGUAGACCAUGCCAGGAGUAUUGCUGUAUCGAGGUACCAGAAGGCCUUGAGGCUCAAUGACACGUCGGAUGACAAAUGUACCUGUGCACUGGAAUUGUUCAUUCUUCUCAUCAAAGUACUCUGUAACCCCGGCUUCUGACCUCACUCUCCGAAGUGGUUCAAAUGCUUGUAGUCUAUCAAAUCUACACUCCCUAAAACCUCCUUGCCGAGGGUUGUGCCAUGGAUUUACGUUCGGACCAAAUAGCUGGGCCAUAGAGCCAUGGCAUAGGAGAAGAACACAAAAGUAGAUAGAUAACCGAGAGAAAGCUAUGGUCGCCAUAGCUAUUUGAGGAUGUUAUUGGAAACUUGGGCUGGUUGAUGUGAGUUCAAUGACAGGGAAGCCAACUUAUAUAGUGAAGAAAAGAAUCUUCAGAUAUGACGUAGGGAUAGAGUUUGUUGACAUGUAUAGAUAAUAUCUAGCCUAUAAUGCGAAAAGUAUAAUAGAAAAAAGGUAGCUUUGCAAUGUUGAGAUAUACACACUAUGACUCAUGGAUGACAUGUCUUGCGCUUUAGGGGUAAUACAAACAAUGCUUGUUGGUAAAUGUAUAUCCAAAGCCUUAAGAUGUUCCUUUGCCUUAUGGAUAAAUUUCCUUUUGUGCAAUAAAGUUUCUCUAGUAUGUUAUCAUUUUGUGCGGUAUGUCAUAGAUGAUAAGUUAGGCGCUCCUUAAAUUUGUUGGUUUGUUGUCAGUUUUGCGUGGCACACUAUGCUUGAUAAGUUAGCGGAACUUUUAAAAUAAGAAACUUGUAAGCUUGUUGUCAUUUUCUUUGACAUACUAUCCUCUCCCAUAUGUAAAGUAAACAAAUUGAUGAAAUAUAUGGAGGUUAGAUGAUUUUGCAUAUCCAACUAGUACUUCCAAGUUUAUACCAAAAAAUAGAAAAUGUUGGAUUUAAUUUUUAAAAAAGUAGAAGCAAUGGACUUAUGUAUCUUUUCUUUUUUUUAUCAUUAUAUUUUCUGGCGUGCAUUUAUUAGGCAGUUUAUUACUGUGACAUAAAUUUAUUUAACUCGCCGGUAAUAAAAUAUGCCAUAUGUUUGUUAGUCCUCACUGUCGACCAUAUCAUACAAGACAUUAAUCAAAUCGUCUUGUCUAAAAUGACCACAAUGUCCCUGCGUGGUGUGGACUAUGAUUUCUUUUCAUUCAUGGUUAGAACUACUGCCGGUCCAUGAAAGGUUAAACUAUAAAAUGCCAUCUGAAAAAAAAAAGGUAAACAGACAAGUACUCGCCCUCGCAAUUAAAUUGUUCAAUAAUAAUAGAAAUGGAAGGAUUUGUCGUGUGUGUGUACAUAUAUACAAGAAAAUAUCAGGAAAGCAUGUAUGUUAUUUUACACACCGAAAGAAUAAACGCACAACGAAACUUAUAUACAAUCAUAUGUUUGCUAGGCAACCAGAGAUGUUACUCCCAAAAGAAACGCUCCGGUAUCAAUUCAGGCUUCUCCUCUCACUUGAACUGCAGCUUGCUUGCAAAUGUCUGGCCAAACUUCCAUCCUGGUGGCACGACGUUGGUGAAGACGAGCGUUUGGUCAUCUGUGUUGGUGACCCUAAAGGAUAGACCUUGACCGGUGAGGUAGGCCAGUGAGUGCCAUUGGGCGCCCCAGUUACGUGCCAUCGGCAUCCAAUCCGCUGUGUUGGAACCCAUAACCUCCAUGGACUUGAUUGACCCUGCCGCCGCGACGUUGGUCACCAGUACUAGCUGGAAGUAGUCGUGACCGUUAAUGGUGAACCGCAGGCCACCCUUCUUCACGCAAGGAACCCUGUAGAAAUCAUCGCAAGAGUAGGAUAUUUUCAUAUGGAAGCAGCGGUCAGGAUAUGCACUGUUCUCUCCAUAAUGUCCAAAAUAAUUGGAGUAUUUGUAUUGGUACCUUUGAUAGAUGACCGGUAUGAUGCCUGCGCUGUAGACGCCGAUCUUCUCCCAGGCCGGCUGUGCCAUGUCAAAGUGCGGCCGUGGUGGGUUGCACCAGCCACCAUUAUCACUGGGAAGGUUCCAGUUGGGCGGGCAGAAAUUGGUGGCGGUGAUGGUAACGGUGACGCCGGGCUUGCACCACUGCGGCGCCCUCUUGCGGUCGCAGGCGAUCUUGUAGCACUGCCCGCACGACGCGCCGUCGUUGAACAGCGCCGUGCUCAGCGCCGCGUUCCGCGUGCCGUACCCCUGCGAGUACAGGUUGCCGUAUCCGCACGCCCCGCCCAUGGUGCCCGACGCGUCCGCGCCGCCGUAGAACGUCGCGUGCGCCUUCUGCCACUGGGUCGGCGCAGCCACCGGGUUUGUGGGCGUCGUCGUCGCUGUGUUGGCCGCGGCCGUCGAUGCACUGGCGACUGCGAGCAGCACCAACACGAACGCUCGAGCUGGGGCCAUGUCUGUCGUCAUGAUCGGAUAACUCUGUAACUAGGCCCUUGAGACUUGAUGACCGAGUUAAUUAUCUGGAGCUAUCUAUCUCUGAAAGCAACACUGCUCUGUUGCUUUGUGUUGAUCUUCUAUGUGAUGUCUGUUUGCUUGGUGAUCUCCUGAUGAUUGGAUGGGUAUAUAUAGCCAUCGCUCGGUCAUUGUUGGAUUGCUGCAUUAGUGGCUAAUGAAAUCCCAAUAAUGAAGUAGUGUGAACUCUGGAAAGCCACGGGACGAAGCUAGCGCGCGGCGACGCGCAUGUGCAUGCAUCGCCGGCCGGCGCAGCCGCAGUACUACUAUAACUUGCUCGCCAAUUAAUCCGAAGAAAUUUUCGGUUUUUCCCUGAUUGGCGCAGAAUGACGCAAAACACAAGCGCGGCGACGUCCAGGCUCCCGCAAUCGCAAGCAAGCGCAUGAAGGCAACGUUCAACGGCGGCGCCAUGAAGAAUGGGGUGGCGUGUGUUGUGUGUGGCCGGCGAUCGAGUGAGGCAUCUCUGAAGUCUGAACUGAAGCAUCUCGAGUGUUUUGGACUCGUUUCUUUUCCUGGUGACGUUAUGAGGUGUUUUUUUUUCCGGGGAGACGUUUUGAUGAGGUGUUGAUCAGAAUUCAUCACCUUGUUAGAAUGUCAACAAGAACAAUUGACGGAAGAAACAAAUAAUCGUUUUAAAAGUUGACAAAAUCAUCGAGGGAAAAAACGUUUUCAAUUAGACAAAACAAUUGACGAAAUUCCGUUGUCAAGUAAACAAAACAAUCCACGGAAAAGACAAUCUAUCUAUGAUAUACUGAAAAUCUAUUAAAAUUCCUACAAACACACUAAAACCGUCACGUGUAUUCCUAGUUUCGUACAAAUACUUCUAAACUGUCACAUGACACUUUAACAAACCAGUGGACCUGAUAUUUUUAUCUAUUAGAAUUUUUUUUUAAAAAAAACCAAAACAAGUAGUCACGUAUUUGAUGGGGCCCACCCUUCCACCGGGCGUACUCACGUACGUGCUUCCUCCCUCCCCCUCCUAUCCAAUCUCCUUUUUUAAAUUAUUAACAUUUUUGAACAUUAACAAAUCUUAGAUAACCACAAUUUUCCUAUAGUUAUUUGUGUUCUUUAACAAUUAAAAAAAUUAAAAAAAUUAAGGUGUUCUUUAACCUAUAAGAAAUAUUUAAUUUUUAUCAUAUCCAAAACUUUACAUAUCACUUUAAACUGUUAUGUAAAAUAGGGAAAAUUUGAUAAUGCUGAUUAUAUGAUCAAUUCGCCAAAUAUGCAUAAAUAAAUUAAGUUAGAUCUAUUAUCUCUAUUAUUAAAAAAUUGAAUAUGUUUUUGCCGGUACUUUGGUACGUUAUCCGUGCACGAGUCGGUUUUUAAGUUUGUUCUUUUUGGAAAUACGGAUCCAUAUUUGAGUCGGUUUUUAAGUUCGUUUACUUUUGUAAAUAUAGAACAAAUCGUAUAAUAAAUCUCUUUAAAAAAACUCACGUGCUAACUCGAACUCCUAAUUACAACUCAAUAUAUAGGGCUUUUCUUACGUAUCACUUCUAUGUCCACUUUUCUUAUGUAUCAACUAGUUGGGUGGCCCGCGCAAUUGCGCGGCUAGCACCUAAAAAAAAUCAUAUAUUUUUCAGUAUGAUUUUACUUAAAAUUUAUUAAAUAGCUAUUACGUUGUCUUAAGACUUUGAAAAGCCAAAUCUUAUCAUCCCUGUAUUUCUAAUUAUAUAGUUUUUUAAAAGUCACACCAGCUACUACCCCUUACUUCUGUCAUAUUUCUUUUAUUUGCUUGCUUGAUCUACCACUAUUUCUAUUCAUUCUCCUUAAAACCUUUAAAAAUCAGAUCUUAUAGUUUUUAUAAUUUCUAGAAGUCCCAUCAAACGCUGUCAUUAUACUCCUCUACAGGUCAUCAACUGUCUUUUCUCUAUAUUGUCAUUGGGAUUUUACAAAUCGAACAUAAUUAUCGUUCGGGUUCAUUUUUUACUUUCUAAAGUCCCGCUAAACCGUCAGCGGCUUUGCCAUUGUUUUCCUUUAUGGCACGCCCGCUGCCUCACUUCUUUAUCGUCAUUGAGAUUUUAAAAUCGAAUAUGAUUAUCAUUAUGUUUUUUUUACUUUUAGAAGUUCCAAACCUUUAAAAAUUAGACCUCGUAGUUUUUAGAGUUUAUAGUCUUGUUGGUUUCAUUUUUUAUAAUUUUUAGAAGUCCCGUUAAACGAUGUCACUAUACUCCUCUAUGGCCCAUCUGCCGCCUACUCUCUAUUGUCAUUGGGAUUCUAAAAAUCGAACAUAACUAUCGUUAGAAUUUAUUUUUUAUUUUCUAGAAGUCCCGCCAACCGUCGGUGGCUCUCCUAUAUAUCCCGCCCGCUGCUUCUCCUUUUUAUUAUCAUUGAGAUUUUAAAAAUCGAAUAUGAUUAGCAUUGGUUUUUUUUUUUACUUUCUAGAAGUCCCGGCAACCGCCUUGAUCGAUUGCUUCACGGCCUACCCGUCGUCCUUCAUUUCAAUCGUUAUUAGGAUUCUAUUUGGUGUUUUAUUAACAGUUAUUGCAUGUCGUAUCAACCACCACCACUCUACUCCUUUAUAGGCGUGUUACUUAAUUAAUCUCGUCAUGUGUUUUAGAUGGUAUUUUCUUUCAAUAGUCUUGAUUUUUUAUCACCAAUUUUAGUUAUUUAUAAAUGGUAUUCCUAGUAUUUUUCUUUUUUUAAUUUCAGAAUUUAUUUUAUUUUUCGUAUUGUGUUCUUUUGAUAUUUUUAUUUUUUAUUUUCAAUUUUAGUUGCUUCCAAAUUGUAUUCCUACUUUAACUCUCUUUUUAAUUCGCCUAAUUUCGGAUUUUAUUUUAUUUUUUAUCUCGAAUUUUAAUUAAUCUACUAUUAGGUUGUUUUAUGUACUCUUAUUUGCAGCGCUGCUUAUAUUUAAUUUCGAAUUUAAGUUAAUUUUAAAUUGCAUUCCGAACUCUUCUUUUGUUUUUUUCUAAUUUUGAUUUUUUUUAAUUUUUUAUUCCGAAUUUUAAUUAAUCUUGUAUUGGAUUCUUAUAUAUACUCUUAUUUUAAUAUUUCUUAUUUUUAAUUCCGAAUUUCAGUUAUUUUUAAAUUGUAUUCCUACUCAAACUCCCCUUUUUUCUUUUUAUAAUUUCUAAAUUUAUUUUUUAUUCCUAAUUUUAAUUAAUCACGUAUUGGGUUCUUAUAUGGACUCCUCUUUCAAUAUUGCAUAUUUUUAAUUCCGAAUUUCAGCUAUUUUUGAUUUUAUUUCUAUUUGGACUCUUCUUUUUUUUUCUCCGAUUAAUGUGGGAAUUUCUAGCCUCUACAGCAAACGUGGUUAUGUAUUUUUGGCUUGGUUAUAUAUUUAUUGGCAUGAAAAUACUGAUACAAUUCGGAAACGGCAGAGUUUGAUUAGGAUUGUUUUGUCUUUCAAUGUUUCUAAAAGUGGUGUUAACACGCGUAUUCCCAAAAUAUUGUCCGUUUCCAAUAUGAUUAUGUUUUUCUUUUCUUUUGUUUUUUUUUUGUUUUUGACCGAUUGUACAUUACGUUUCCAGUAGAUUAGGUUUUCCCUUUUUUGUUUGUUUGUUUCUUUUUUUUGACAGAUUGUCCGAUUCCGUUUCCAGUAGUAUGAUUAGGUUUUCCUUUUCUUUUUUGUUUUUGACUGAUUGUCCGAUUCGAGUUUCUUCAUACGCCUUAUUUCUUUCUUUCUUCAGUUUUUAACUAAUCCUAAUCUAGUUCUAUUUUUUUUCUUAUUUUUUAGAUUAAUGUGAGAAUUUCUAGGCCAUGAGAGCGAACGUAGAGGCUUCUUUUUCUAUUAUUUUAAAGAUAUAACUAGCAUGGUGGCCCGCGCAGAUUGUGCGGCUAGCAUCAUUAUAUUUUCUCUCAUAUUAUAUCAUAUAUGUUUUCUCAUUAUAUUAUUCAAAUAUAUUAAAAUGACAACAUAAUUUUAAAUUUUGCAAUAACUUUACAAAACUACUAAUGUGUAAUAUUCAUAUUGUAUUUUAUAUACGUGUUAGUUAUUAAUUAUUUUUAAUAUCAAAUCCUAUAUGGACUCUAGUCUCGUCUUUUAAUAUAUUUUUUAGUUCCGAAUUUUCUGUAAAUUGUAUUUCUAUAUAGACUCUAUACUCUUGUUUCAAUAUUAUUCUAUUUAUUUUUAUUUCUAAAUUUUAAUUAUUUCUAAUUGUAUUUCUAUGUGGACUCUAAACUCAUCUUUCAAUAUUCUUUAAUUUUUAAUUUCGAAUUUCAGUUAUCUCUAAAUUGUAUUCCUAUAUUGACUUUAAACUCUUCUUCCCAUGUUUUUCUAAAUUUCGAAUUUUAGUUAUUUGUAAAUUGUAUUUUUAUACGGACUCUAAACUCUACUUUUAAUUUUAUUAUGUUUAUUCCAAAUUUUAGUUAGUUUUAAAUUCCUAUAGGGACUCUAUACUCUACUUCAAAUAUUGCUUAUUUUUUAAUUCCAAAUUUCUAUUUUUUUCUUAAUUGUAUUUCACUCUACUUCUAAUAUUCCUUAUUUUUAAUUCCAAAUUUCCAUUAUUUUCCUAGCUAAUUGUAUUUCUAUAUGGACUCUAUACUCUACUUCUAAUAUUGCUUAUUUUUAAUUCCGAAUUUCAGUUAUUUCCUAAUUGUAUUUCUAUAUGGACUCUAUACUCUACUUUUAAUAUUCCUUAUUUUUAAUUCUAAAUUUCAGUUAUUUUCUAAUUGUAUUUCUAUAUGGACUCUAGUCUCCUCUUCUAAUAUUCCUUAUUUUUUAAUUCUGAAUUUCAGUUAUUUCCUAAUUGUAUUUCUAUGUGGACUCUAGUCUCCUCUUCUAAUAUUCCUUAAAUUGUAUUUCUAUAUGGACUCUGCUUUUUCUUUUUCUCCUAUUAAUGUGAGAAUUUCUAGGCCAUGAGAGCAAACGUGGAGGCUCCUUUUUCUAUUCUUUUAAUAAUAUAAUAGUGUCGGUGACAUGGGACCGGGAGUAUCAUGACUUAGAGACUUGAGGCAGACACGAUCACCCACGUGGCCUAACCCCCUCGGGGGGGGGGGGGGGGGUUGGGCCCGAGGGUGAUACGGCCGCCCUUCUCUUUGUCUCCCCGAGGGGUCGGACCGCUCCUGUCUCGGCCCCGAGGGCCGAUGCGCCCCGAUUCCUUGUGGGUUUUGCGCCGCGUAUAUGGGGUAGGUGAGCAUAGCGGGGCUCACCUAACCACAUUUAUUGCGGUUUGGACGAGCGCGUCACGCCGCAUGUAACGCAGUCACAGACCGAUCAGAUCGUGGGUUAGGUGGCGACAGGCGGUCUGACGCACGCCUCGCCCCAUCCCGUCAGGAUGAGAGCCUCCAAGCACUCGUCCCUAGCCGGAGCCGGCGUGUUAGCUCCUGGAGAUGGCACGUUGGUUCCGGUCAGAUAUAUGCCAGGCUUCAUCCUAACCAUUACAGGCAAGAUAUUGUAUGAAGAAGGGCGAACAUGCAGAUUGUUAAACUGACACGUGGUGGACAAGAAUGACCGAUUUGUGACCGGUCUGACAAUGGUCAUGUCGUCAGCAGACAGCCAUGUUCCCACGUCGCGCCUGCUUCCGGCGGAAGUGGAGGUAGGUAUGGGCCGUCCCAUGAGAAGGUCAUUCGGACGGCAGCCAUACAAAUCUCCGUCCAUUAAUGAAGAGAAGUGAAGUUGGAGGGAAGAGAGGAUGAGUCCCCACACAAAAGAAAGAAAGGGAGAGAUGGUGCAUGUGGUAUCCCCUUGAGAUAUAAAAGGAGGACCUUGCCCACUUAGAAGGAAAAAAACGAUCCCAGAACGAUCGGGGGCUGGCUCGCACUUUGUAGCUUCUUCAUACACAGAUCCACCAAAACACAGGAGUAGGGUAUUACGCUUCUCAGCGGCCCGAACCUAUAUACAUCGCCCGUGUCUUGUGUGUUUCCACUCUCGCGAACUUUCCACAGGCUAGGAGCUUAGAACCUCACCCAGGGCCCCCGGCCGAACCGGCAAAGGGAGGCCUGCGCGGUCUCCCGGUGAGGAGCCCCAAGCUCCGUCAAAUAGAUAGAUUAUAUAUGUCACAUUCAAACCUAUGUAUCAUUUCUACUUAUAAUUAAACUGCUAUUCACUAAUCAUUGAGUCAGGAAUAUUGAUGAGAUGAUUGUUUAUUAAAUUGACUAUUCGAGAUUCGGUAAAUCUAUGCUGUCAAGUGGUAAAGAAGAAAGUUAACUUGCAAUAUAGAUUAAACACAAACAACAGAAUAGGUCAAUCUCAUGAAAUAAAAUAAAGCAGCAUCGUAACUUUUUUAAAUUGAAAAAACAUGUAUAUGACAAUAUGAAAAAAAUUGAAAAAAAUCCAUAACAUACACCCUACAUAUAAUCAAAGAUAAUCACGGCUAAUCUCAUUGGAAUAUAACCUAUGUAUUUAUUGAAUCAUUAAAGCAUAUAAUCAAUUGGAGAAAUUAUUAGAUUUAAAAUUCAUCCAAGUGUGUUAACAAAUUGAAAAAAAAUAUUUGAGUUAUUUCACCUGUAGUAGCAAGAUAUCGUAGGGUGCUCAACAUUGUUGCUAACGAGGAAGGAAAAUUACUAUGAUACCCGCUUAUUAAGUAAGUGUUAAUUUGAUUCGUGCCAUUGAAAAAUGCCUAUUCAGAUAAAUAUCAUUACAAUUUGUCUAUUCAUAGCUGUCCACUCAAAUUUUACAAAAUUAGAGUGCCAUCGUCGUUACGUUUUCUAUCUUCCUCCUCAUCUACACGUGGGACCCACCUGUCAGAUUCAUCAUCUUUCUUUCACUCUCGCUUAUCUUCUUCCUUCCCCAUCGAUCUCUCUGUCACGGUGAGGAGCGACCAACGUGGGCAAGACGGGAGGGGGUCAGUCACGGCGUACAUUAAAUGAACGGUGGUUGGAUAGAACAAUUGUACUUUAGAUUCACUUAUAUUAUGGGAAAAAAUUGAAUCUAUGGUAGACAAGAAAAAAUGUUAUUUAAUGUAAAAAAUAUGCUAAAUAUUAACAAAAGAAAGAUACAUAGUGCAAAUGUAUAUAGUAUAAUUUAUAGAAACCAACUCAAUUGUUGUGACACCAUAUACUUUCUCAUAAAUUCAAAACUAUACGGAUUGAUGUAAUUUUAGUUUAGAAUUUAUAUGUUGCAUGGGUAACUACAAGAAAAUCAUAACUACUUUCUCUGUUUCAUAAUGUAAGUCAUUCUAGCAUUUUCCACAUUCAUAUGGAUGUUAAUGAAUCUAGAUAAAUAUAUAUGUCUAGAUUCAUUAACAUCAAUAUAAAUGUGGGAAAUACUAGAAUAACUUCCAUUGUGAAACGGAGGGAGUGACAUUCAAAGUAAUCCCUAGCAAAUUAGAAUAUAGUCAAAAAGUAUUUCAAUAAUAAUCACCCACAAAUAAACGUUGGUAAUAAAAUUUUAAACACAUUAAAUAAGAUGCCCACGCAUGUGUGUGUGCUACCUUUCUAGUUUAAAGGAAAUCGUCGUAGCGCCAAAAAAGACAAUUCAAAAGAAAUCGUCGUAGCACCAAAAAUGAAUUAAAGGAAAUCGCUCCAAAAAUAAACUAAAGGAAAUCAUGACAAAAGAAUCGACCCAAUUUAAAAGAAAUCAUCGUAGAGCCAAUAAUGAACUAAAGGAAAUCGCGCCAAAAAAUGAAUUGAAGAAAUCGUGACAAAACAAUCGACCCGAAAAUUCGACCCAAUUUAAAAGAUAUUGUCGUAACGCCAAAAAAUGAAUUAAAGUAAAUCGUGACAAAACAAUCGACCAAAAAAGUCGUAGCGCCAAAAAUUGAAUUAAUGGAAAUCUUGACAAAACAAUCGACCCAAAAAUUCAACCGAAUUUAAAAGAAAUCGUUGUAGCGCCAAAAAUGAAUUAAACAAAAUCGUCGUAGCGCCAAAAAAUGAAUUAAAGGAAAUCGCGCCAAAAAAUCAAUUUAAAAGAAAUCGUCGUAGCGCCAAAAAUGAAUUAAAUGAAACUGCGCCAAAAAAUGAAUUAAAUGAAAUUGAGCCAAAAAAAAGGAUUAAAUGAAAUUGCGUAGCGCCAAAAAUUAUGGAAAAAAUUAUCAGAGCCAGGUUUCGAUCCUGGGACCUGUGGGUUAUGGGCCCACCACGCUUCCGCUGCGCCACUCUGAUUAGAAAACUCGUAACAAUUUGGUAUUGCUUUGUCCAAUAUAUUUUGUGUAUUCAGCCUUCAAUGUUUUCUAAAUCCCUUUUUUGCUAGUUGUAUGGGGGUACCGACUAAAAUUUCGGUAAUUUUGAUCCUAAAUUAUUUGAAUAUUUUAACACAAUGGCUAAAUUCAUAAAAAAUGAAAAAUAAAAAAAAGUUCGGGUUAAAUAAUUUCGUACUUGGGAAUGGGGGGUGGGCUGAUAGACCCGAAAUUUUGCAAGAGUAUAGAAUAUAGAACGAGAUUAAUUACAACGGAAUGACUGUACGUACGACUGUGUCUGUAUGACCUGCAUACGACUGCACAUAACAGAUUUUAACUUGUUUUGAUUGGGCCCACGUGAAUAUUUAUGAACUCAUGUGAUUGGUUGGUUUGGUGCAGUCGUAUGAGAGUCGUAUGGCUCAGUCGGAUGUAUAGUACUACUCUAAUUACAAUGCUUUGUACCAUUGAACAUUUGAUGUGGAUAAAAUAAGUCACAUAAUUAUUAUUUUACAAGGGUUCAUGUGCCAUUUCUAUUAAUGAAAAACAAGAUUAAGGUGUAAUUGCUCACUAUGAAUGCGUCAGAAAUCGUCCCCACCAGCAAUUCCGUCUGAAAAUACAGAGAUCAAACGAAAUGGGUGUAUACAUGGGUCAUCUUGACCGCUCAUCCAAAUCAUGCACAUGAUGUUGCCAAACAUGAAUACUCCUUGAAACCACGCGAUUCAUCUGUUGAAUAAAAGGGACAGGUCCGAUUUAAUUCAAUUAAAUUCCCUAGGCCUAUAAUUAAUGUUAGUGAUAAUAAUACCAUCUUAAAAAUUUUAGUGGAGAGAUCUCAUCUUAAAUAGAGAGACAAUUAUGACUCUCUAUUGACCGGUUGAGAAGGUGGGCGGACUACCACGUGCGCGCGCACGCGUUGGCUGGGCCGAGGCCGUGGCUUCCGUCGUCCCUAGCUUUGAUCUCUUACGUGCAAAAGAGAUUGGGACGAGUAGAGCCUCCGAAACUCUGUCCGUCUGAGUUCCUGCACGGGUAGGCGGGCAAUAAAGUUUUUGCGGAGCGUUCUUCCGUCUGAGUUCCUGGGUCUGAGUUCCUGGUUCCUAUUCAUCAACGCCAACAUGUCGACAGACGACAACGCCAACGGUGCAGCUGGAGGAGAUGUCAGCAAUGGAGGAGGCGGUGCAGGGAACGGCUCCAUCAACGGAGGCAACUAUGCCUCACACUCCAGCGAAGGACCAUUUUUAGAGUAUGUCUCUAUUCCCAACACGCUAAUUUCUGAUAUACUACUAUUAAGCGUAAUGUUUUUAUAACAAUGCCAUGUGAUGAAUGUUUAUGCUUAUUCUAUAUUAAGCAUGAUUUGUAUGUUGCUCUUGAUUAGUAUUCACACUAGUUUAUUCCCUAAAAAUGUCAUGCUUAUUGUCUUAAUGAUUUGGAUUAAAAUAUGCCAAAUUGCGACCAUAUUUCCAACAUCAUCUUUGCCUCAGAGUCACAUGGCUGGUAUGCUUCCUUGUGUGAACAAUUCUUGUGACAAAUCUGUUGAACGUGGACACACAGCAGGCGCCUCACUUGUUACAAUGCAUAGUUGUGCUAGCAAUCGUUUUAGCUGCUGUGUUAUGCUAGGAGAGCUCAUCUGCCAUUCCACCCCAUCUUUUAGUUGUGCUAAGGCUUGGUGGCCUAGUAAAUCCGACGUUUCCCUCUACUGAUUAUAGGCCCGCGUUGCAACUGUUUUUCUUAUUUAGUUUAGUGAAAUUAUUCAGAGAGGUGACCUGUUCGGUUUUCUACACCAUGGUCGGUUUUAUGAGAAAUCUAUUUUCAGGAUGAACAGUUUUUACGGAAAGGAAGAAUUUUUUACGUGAAAGUGGGGGAGAGAGGGAUAGGAGGAUGACUCCCUCUCUUAUAAGAUAUUUACAAUUUUAUAUAACUUUAGUUGAAGUUGAUACAAGUGUAAUAAAAAUUAAUCUGAAUAUGUUUUGAUUCAAUGAAGAGCAUAAACAUCUUUGUAUAUACAAGUACCCACCCAUACAUAUGGGAUAAAGACAUAAAUAUAUACACCAAUAAAUCAGGUAUAAACAAUAAAAAAUAAAAAAUAAAAAAAAUCAUAUGUGCAAUAGUGCACAGAAGCACAAUUCAAUAGUCCUUACAACGUGUAUAUAUACACUGUGCAAAUGUCCAUCAUAAAUAAUCAGUCAGGCAGUAGAAACCCAAUCAAUUCAGGAUGAUCACUUGAACUGCAGUUUGCUUGCAAAUGUUUGCCCGAACUUCCAUCCUGACGGCACAAUGUUUCUGAAGACAAGCGUCUGGCCGUCCAUGUUGGUCACCCUAAAGGAAAGCAUCUGUCCAGUGAGAUACGAUAACGAGUGCCAAUUUGCACCCCAGUUUCUCACCAUUGGCAGCCAGUCGGUUGAGUUGGAGCCCAUCACAUCCAUCGACUUGAUCAAGCCGGUGGUUGCAACGUUGGUCACAAGAACGAGAUUGAAGUAGUCAUGCCCGUUGAUGGUGAACCGCACACCACCCUUCUUUACACAUGGAACCCUGAAAAACAUCACAAAAUACAUGUUACAAAUAUGUCUUAUAUAUUGUCAUAUAGGUGUGCAAUAUCAAAAACAAAUACGAUUUGUGUUUGUCCGGUGUAGGUUAAUUAUGUACCUUUGGUAGAUGACGGGGAUGAUGCCGGCACGGUAAAUACCGAUCUUCUCCCAGGCCGGCUGCGCCAUAUCGAAGUGCGGCCGUGGAGGGUUGCACCAGCCGCCGUUGUCGCUGGGGAGGUCCCAGUUGGGCGGGCAGAAGUUGGUGGCGGUGAUGGUGACCGUGACGCCGGGCCUGCACCACUGCGGUGCCCUCUUGCGGUCGCAGGCGAUCUUGUAGCACUGCCCGCACGACGCGCCGUCGUUGAACAGCGCCGUGCUCAGCGCCGCGUUCCGCGUCCCAUACCCCUGCGAGUAAAGGUCGCCGUAGCCGCACGCGCCUCCCAUGGUGCCCGACGCGUCCGCGCCGCCGUAGAACGUCGCGUGCGCCUUCAGCCACACGGGCGGAGCCGCGUCGUCGGUCGAUGACGACGGAGCCAUCGCUGUCGUCGUCGUCGCCGUCGCAUUGGCCGAGUCGUCGGCCGCCGUCAGCAGAACGAAGCCGACCGUGACUGCGAGAAACAGCAACGCGAAAGGUCGAGCUGGAGCCAUUUCUGUCGUCGUGGUCAGUAGGCGUUUGCUGAAAGUUGUAGCUCGCUAGCUCUGAAAUUAAGCUGCAGCUGCAAAGCAGAGAUGCUGUAGACUGUGGUGUGCGUGCGAUUUAGCUGUGAAUUUGGUUCUGAUGAUUGUGAGAUGAUUCGUGGGAUGAUUGGUCUAGAUAUAUAUAGCCUGUUCGGAUUAAUUCUACAAGGAUCGCCAUGCGUGCAUGUGCCCGUGCAGCCGCAGCAUGGCUUAUGGGUUAAUCGGAAGAUUUGUAAAUGAAGUUACGAACACGCAGACACGUAUUGUCCAUUAUCUUAGAAAAAAGACACGUAUUGUCCAAACUACUGAUCUGCUUGGCAUAAAAUUGAUUUAAUUUCAGAAGAUACCUCUCUUGGUUUGCUUUACUUCUAAUGGUGAAAUGGACGGCUCAAUUAUUAAUUUGCAGAAAGUAUUCAAUGUUCGGGGUACUCCCUUGUCUAAGAAACGAUGUCAUCUGUUCCUUGAAACUUACAGGUGAUACUGCACCUGGCCAGCAACAUCAAUCGCGCUCGACCAACGGCGUGUAGUGGUUAAUUGGAUGGAAACUAAUUUUUAGAGUUGACUCAUCAUUAAGGCAGAUAUGAAGAGUAGCUAAAUUAAGACGAAUAUUCCUGGUUAAUCAAACGAUCUUGGACAUCACAAUAUUGCACAGCCAUGGCCGUGCCCGUAGGUGCCACUCUUUUGCUUAGACACCGAUUAGAGUAGUACUCUAUCCAUUUCAGUUUAUAAGACUUUGACUGGUCAAAGUCAAACUGUUUCAAAUUUAAUAAAAUUUAUAGACAAAUAUAAUAAUAUUUAUAAUAUUAAAUUAGUUUCAUCAAAUCAAUAAUUGAAUAUAUUUUCAUAAUAUUUUUUCUUGGGUUGAAAAUGUUACUACUUUUUCUAUAAACUUGAUCAAAUUUAUCAAAGUCAAAAUGUUAACCUGAAACGGAGGGAAUAGUAUAAAAGGACAUGUUUACUGACCCUGUGUCAAGCACUCUUGUUACAGAAUUUCGGUAAAGAGAAUAAUAUAGUGUGCCUUCCUCCAAAUUUUAUUUUACGGAUUUUAUGUCCAAAGUUAGCAAUUCCGUUACAUAUAGUCUGUAACGCUCCGCUUUUCGUGAGGCGUUAAAAACUAAUUCGGCAAAAUCCUAAUUGCGAAAAUUUUCGUUCUUUGUGUGCGAGUCUAAGUUGUGCCAAUAUCUCAAUUCAAAUCCCGUUGUUCCCUCUCAUCGAAAUCGAAAUCCUCCACCUCAAAUUUCCAAUCCCGAUUCAAGUCACCGAGAUCAAAUCCCGAAAUUCAAUUCCUCUCUUUGAAUUCUCGCCAAAUACUUGUACCGACUCGAAAGAUAUCCAAAUUCCAUUCCCAAUCCAAAUUCUCUCCAACUCAAAUUCUAAGCAAAAGUCUAAUUUGCAUCCCUCGGGUUCGUGGGCCGAAUCCCCUCCCUAGGCCCAUCUCUCCCCUCUGCCCUUCUCUCUCACGUGCGCUGCACGUGGUCACUCAGCAGAGCUGAGGGAGGAAGAGAGCUCCCGCCUCUCUGCCUUUUCUCCCCCUCUCCGUUCACUCUCUCUCUCCCCGGCGCCGAUUCCCGCCGACGCCGCUCAAAUCCGCACCGCCUUCGCUCGUUCCUGCGCGCUCGCGCGUGGCUGACCGCCCGGUUGCCGCCGCGUCAGCCCUGACGCCGCCUGUCCCCGCGCCUGCGCCGCGCAGCCGCCCGGCCCCGCUCGCCUUUAGCCGUCAUCGCCGCUGUCAUCGCUCGGCCCCGAUGCCCCCAUGCCGCAUCCUUCCAAAACCAAGAGACAGAGCUCGUGCUCCUCUCCCUCGUUCUCUCUCCCUCCUUCCUCCUUCCUCCCAAAGUGGCAAGGGAGCCAAGCUCUUUUCCCUCCCCUUUUCGCCUUUUUCCCCGACCACAACCGCUGUCACCACCUGCCGCUCCUUGACCGCAAGCGCCGCGCCAGCCGAGCAAGCUUGACCACCAAUGUCGGUUUCCCUCCUCCAAACCGACCUCUCCUCCUCGCCUAUAAAGCCCGCGCCCUCCCCUCUCGUUUCGUCUUCACCUCGCUCGAACCACCCGCGCCAUUGUUGCCAGCCGCCAGCUGCUCGCCCCCGCGACUGCCUCCUCGCUGCCGCGCUGUGUCAAUGGCCGCGUGAGCCUCGGCGUCGGCCUCGUCAAGCUCGGUGCCGCACUGCCGUGGCCAAGAGCGUGUGCAUGCACACAUCAUCCUUUCGGCCUCGUUGCCUCCCUCCUUUGCCCGGCCGCGCCCUCUCGGUGCCGCGCCUCCCCGCCGUCGCGACCGCCUCGUCACGACUCCCUCUGCGUCGCCAACGCCGCUCCUCCCUCCCCGGUGAGCUCCCCACCGUAUUCCUCCUCCUGCCGCACAAUGCGCCGCGUGCCUCGCCGUUGCUCUGUUUCAGCCGCCGCGCGCAGUCGCGCGCCGUCGUCGGGCCCCAGCUCAUCGACCACCCUCACCAACACCGUCCUUGAGCUCCCUAGGGCCUCCCCAAACCGUUCCCUAGCAAUGCCGUCACCUGGCAUGGCUUCGCCACCAUUACCGUCCGCUCCCGUAGGCCGCCGUCGACGCUAGCCCUCCUCGAUGCUCCUCCACCCUAUCCGGCGCCGGAAACGGAAUCCCCGACUCCCAGAGAUACUCCCACCACCUUGAAUUUAAUCCUUGUCGCCCCUCCGCCGUUUCCCCUUUUUCUCGCCGCCAGCGUGCGUCGCCGCAAUCCGCCGCCUCCGGCCUCUUUCCGGCGAAUCCAAGCCGUCGGCUCUCUUCCUCUCGUCCCUUCCCUCCUUCCCGGUGUGCUCCCUUUUUCCACUGAGGUCGUGCCUUGCUCCGGUGAACUCGGCCGCCGUCCGCCGUUCAUUCCCGGCCUCCCCUUCUUCCUCCUCCCGUUGGCUCGCGUGGCAGCCACGUCGGAGCCACGUCGGCUGCGACUGGGUCAGCCGCCUCCUCCCUUCCCCACCUUCGCGCGCACGGUCCACGGUGCGCCAACCGGCUGCAUGUGGGCCCGCUGCCAUCCGAUCCACCCGGCGCACCGCCCGCACACCGCACCCACCAAACCCUAGCACCGCACCCGCGUGCGCUCUCCCCACCAUGAACCUUGCCGCCAACAUGUGGGCCCCACCCGGGACCCCGCGAGGUGCACCCGGUCCACCGGACCGCUCCCUCCCCCUUCCGCGCGCCCUAAUGGGCCGCCUUUCCCGCGCCCGCGCCGGCCCAAAUGGCUUGGCCGAGCCUCCUUCGACCCUUGGGCCGCGCCCUUGCCGCUCGAAAAAGUCUAAUAUAUAUCCCUCCAUCCUUUUCUUUUUCAGGGAUUUAAUAAAUCCUUUUUCCUUUGUCCCAUAAAUCAAUUCCUUGUUCCAAAAUUCCAUAAACCAUUUCUCGUAUUCCAGAAAAUUCCGAUAAAUCAUUUCCUUGACCAGAAAAUCCAAAUUAAACUUCCAAAAUUCAUAUCACCCAAUUCGCAACUCCGAUUGACUCCGUUCAACUUCCAGUAAUUCCGUAAAAUUGAGAUCUAUUUAAUGGCACUACUAAUUAGUCUAAAUAGGAUCUUUCUUUUGGUCCUUGUUUAGGUUUUCGAUUGUUUGCGUAUAGUUGCGGUUAUCGGAUUUUCGUCGAUCGCGGGUUUUCUCGAAGAUUCGUGAAGCUUCGUGAAGACUUUGAGCAAGGCAAGUCACCCUUUGAUCAAUUGCCCCUAUAAUUGAAAAGUCAUUAUUAUUUUGUUUACAACUUGCAUUAUUAGACUCACACACUUAACUUGCUUGGCCUCGGUUUGCGUGCCAAACCGACGGACCUACCCAGUAGUCGCACUAAUUUCCGUAGGUCGUACUACCCUGAUUCCUUGUCGCUCCACCCUUGUGGUACCUCGGUAUUCGUGCUCUCUGAGCGCGUAUACCAAAUACCCCACAUACACCGUUGUUUGUCGAAAACUUGGGAAAUGGGUUUGUGAAGCCUUCAAAACCCGACAUGUGGUGUCGGUGUGUUUGAAAAUAAAAUGAAUUGUGAAAACUCGCGAUGCGGGGGUUGUGCCUAUGUGGCACUGUCCCGUAUUCGCAUAUAAGGACCGAUUCCUGUGGGAAACUCAUCGAACAUAAUCAAAGUGCAACCACAAGGUGGAAUGGGACACCCUGGCUAAGUAGCUAGUCGGUUCAGGGAAACCUCGCAUGCCAAUAGUUGGGAACGCCGGGGCGGGGUCGGUUGGAGCCAAACCGGGUUCCUGGUAAUGCAAGAACGAGAAGCUUGCUGAAUUACCGGUCGAGGUGGUUGGAGUUUGAUUUGUGAACGCCUAAAAUGGCCUAUGUUUACGUGAGGAUUUGAUCCUUCUAUGUGGCAUGAGGUAUCCCUGGGUCGGCUUGGGAAAGGCUUUGUCGCGAACCUCUGACACCGGCCAGUGUCUGGAGUAAGUUCGUGUCUUGUGGGUAAAGUGUACCCCUCUGCAGAGGUUAACUAACUGUUCGAACAGCCGUGCCCACGGUCAUGGGCGGAUGUGAGGUGGUUCCCGUUCCGUAGAUUUGUUUGCCUGUGCUUUGUGAAAAGUUGUUGUGGUGUGGGAAUCGUAACCAGAAUCAGCCUAUGUGGCAGAUGGAUGACCUGAGUGGUCAGAAACGAAUCUGUGUGAUUCGGGAUGUCUGUGGGCAUCAUAGACUAGGCUUCCCGAGUGGAAGCGGAUUGUUGUGCUGCUGGGCAGCUGGACUCUGGGAGUCCGAGAAAAUGAAAAAGGCUCUGGGAGCCGAUUAAUCAAGUGGAAUGGCUCUGGGAGCCGAGAAGUAAUGAUCUGACCCGGGAGGUCGGUACAUUACCAAUUGAGUUGUUGAAAAGCAUCUCUUAAAGUCGAAUCGAGACGCAAGUCUCUCUUCGGCCCAAACUUAGAAAGAAAUAAAUCACUUAGUGAUUUCAAAAUGUCUUCAAAUAAAAGAUUUGCAAAACAACCUUGCCUCUCUUCCAAGCUUGCAUUAAACACCCAAGUUCCCGUGACUUGCUGAGUACGAAAGUACUCACCCUUGCUCUAUAUAAAUAUAUAUAUAGCUCCUCCGCCCUGAAGAGAAGAUAAAGUGAAGUGAAGAUUAGGGUUUCGUCCUGGUUCCCAGCCGUCGCCUGUGGUGUCGGGUGUUAAACCGUUGGUUCCGCUGCUGCUGCUGUUGUUGGUGUUCGCCUCGUCCGUGUCGUCGGUUGCAUUCUCGGGCUGUCUGAGCUGCAACCUAAGUUAAGGUAAAUAAGUCCUCUAUUUAUUUUAAGGAUUUGCAAUGAUUCAUAUUUGUCACCGUGGGUACCAGCACUAUGUCCUGGGACUGGUACUGAGAUCGCGGUUUCGUAGGAAGCGGUUCGCGCCGUUUUUCCUACGACACGCUCCUAUCAGGUGCCGUUGUGCGGCGGUGCCGGAUUGGGGUGUGACAAGAGGGGUGAGGGUGUAACAUCCCGGCCUAAGGCUUAAUAAGAUUAAUAGAAUACUCAUAUCAACAAGUUGCAACUUCUUUUCCGGAAGCCAAUCUCCAAAGAACUCCAGGGUUAAACGUGCUUGGCCUGGAGCAAUUUGGGAUGGGUGACCGACCGGGAACCCGGGUGCACAUGAGUGAGGACAAAGUGUGCAGAAAAGAUAUGUGUUGGUCUGUGAGGGCAGUCUAUGACCUAUGAAAGCUAUCAGAUGAAUGACCUAUGAAAGUGUUGGUCUGUGAGGGCAGUCUAUGACCUAUGAAAGCUAUCAGAUGUAAGUGGGCCCGGCCUGGGGGAGGCGGGACGUUACAUAGUCCCUGAUCGGACGUAUUUCGUCUUACCUCAUCCUAUGUGGCAAAUGCCUUUUUAUUACUCUUUAAUUAGAUCCUUUAAUGGCAAUUAAUCCAUUAUAUUAAGAAAACUAACCGUGUUUCCAUCCCUAGGUUACUAAAUGUCUGCUGGCGAAAUUCCAAAUUUUGAAUUUUCCAUAAUUCAUCAUAAGAAUACAGAACUGAUUUUAUUAUUUUUAUUUUCAAUUUAUUGUGGAAUUUAUUAUUAGAUUGAGUUUGAGAAAAUUCUUUAUACAUCUCUUAAAUUUCAACCAAUCCCUUGUAUGUUCAUGAGUUUUGCUCGGUCUGUUAUAUAUCAUCUAAUUUUAGUUUUGAAUUUUUUAUGCCCAUACCUAUAGUUGACCAUUUAAUUCAUUUGAAAAUAUCCAUUUCGCUCUUAGAAAUGGAAGAAACAUAUAAAUUUUUUUAAGUAUAUUGUUGGAAGUAUAAGUUUAUUGUACAAGACUACUAUAUUUGUGAUUUUAUUUUUUUGUGCGAGGUACUAUUCACGGCAAAGUUUAUAUUUCAGAUAAUGAUAAAAAAUAAUUUUAUUUUUUUAAUUGAUAUAAGUGGGAGAGAAAAAUAGAUCGAGUAAUGAAAACCAGCAAGCCUAGAAGAUACAACAGCUAAUCAACAUACAAAAGUUAGCGAAAGUAUAGUAAGCUAAAGACGAUAGCAAGCAGGACAAGCAAACAAAAGCCAAUGACGAUUUUCGUCGGAGAAAGAUGACCGGUUUCUCCACGGCGUUGCAACGACCGAGGGCCCUGUAGAAACCCUCCUGCGUCGCCAUGGUCACGAACCCAAACCCUCGCGAUCUCCCCCGCUUGUCGUACACGACCCUCGCCUGCACCACCUUCCCGUGCUCGCUGUACAUCUCUCGCAGCCGGAGUCUAUCCACCUGCGGCGACAGAUCGCCGGCGUAUAUCCUCAGCUCCCGGCGGCGGCGCCGCCGUCUUGCCGGAGCUGCUGCUGCUUCUUCUUCUACCUUGAUCCAAUCAAUGUUGGGCUCAGGCAAGAACCACAUGCACCUCUCGUCGUUCCAUCCGGCGGGCAGCGUUUCCACCAGCGUCGUCGUCGUCGCCGGCGAGCCGGAGCUGUCCACGAAGCUGCACCUGUACACGCGGCACGGCUCCGACCUGACGACGAAGUAGGCGCUGCCGCCGGGCACGUCGCCGCUGAACCGCGCGGCCUCCACGGCGAAGCUGCCCGGGUAUCCCAGGAAGAGGACGUGGUCACCGAGGACAUCGUCCCUCUUCUCCCACACCGGCACGGCAGCUGGCUCGUCGUCGUCCACGGCUGCACCCAGCACCCGGAUCGAGCGCGUGCACAGCUGCGUCCACAUCGAACGCGUGCACGGACACCGAGAGGCGGUCGUCGUCGUCCUCGUCCUGUAGAACGCUGGCCAGCAGCAGCUCGCCGCGAAGCUCCAGGAGGUAGCUGCGUCGUCGGCGCACCUUGCCGGGCUCGUCAGGUAGACAAAUAGCCGUGUUCCUCAGCCAUAGCGAAUCCUUCUUGUGGAUGUAACAGUGCGCCAACGUCGGCUACACGCUUCUCUCCCGAAAUCGCUAAUAAGCGACUAGUUGCGCGCGCGCGCGAGUUCACCUCCUACUACUUCUACUUUCUAGCCCAACAUUUUAUCUGACUGUUUUCUGGGCCUCUGGUGGGCUUUCCCCUCUCCACCCGGAGGGUUUCCUUUUUCUUUUCUUUUUUGCCGUUUCUCUUCUUUUUUUUCUUCGUUCUCUUUCCGUUUUGGUUUUCUUCGGUUUUUUUUCAGUUUCUUUUCCUUUUUUCGGUUCUCUUUCUGAUUUGGUUUUUUCCUUUUUUUCGGUUUCUCUUCUUUUUUUGGUUUUUUUAAUAUGUACUUGUACAAAGUUUAUAUUUGUAGGUAUACCAAUUUUCAUAUUUAUACGUAUACAAAUUUUGUAUUCAUGUUUUUUCUCUCGGUUUUUAAUAUGUACAUAUACAAAGUUUGCAUACGCGUAUACAAAGUUUGCAUACGCGUAUACAAAGUUCGCAUAUAAAAAAUAUACAUGUAUACAAACUUUGCAUACGCGUAUGCAAACUUUCUAUACGCGUAUACAAACUUUGUAUUUUGUAUACGCGUAUGCAAAGUUUGUAUACAUGUAUAUUUUUUAUGUCAAUUUUUUGGUACACAUAAAAAUUAUAUACACGUAUGUAUAUACUUUGUAUACACACGUCACACACAUAUAUAUAUAGGAAAAUGCAGAUUUGCACUCGGGUUCACAUGUACCUACAAUCUACACCGUUGAUGUGUUCCAAGAUUCGUGCUGCAAAAUGUACCUAACCUUAACCAAAUGAAUGCCUCCUAUAGGGAGAAAAGAUUAGGAUUAUGUUGGUUCAUAAUAUGUAUAACAUGUAUGUUGCAUUUUUUACCAAAUAUUUUUUUUAAUAACAAUCAUAUAUGACAUUUAUAUAUCCAGUGCAUCGUAUUUCUCUAACCCUUAUUUUGUUUAUAACAUGAUAUUUAGUUAAUAUGAGAAAACAAUAUAUCUACUAUAUCACCAAAUUGUCAUAUUGCAAAAAUGAUAUUUCCAAAAUGAUAUAUAUCCUACUAUCAAAAACUACAUAAACAAGGUAAUUUAUAUAAACAAGGUAAACUACAUAAACAAAUUUUGCAUACAAGAAAUAUAAAAAUUACAUAAACAAGGUAUUUUACACUAUAUAGUAUAACGUAAACAUCAUGCAUGGUAUAUUUUGUUACCACCUAAUAUGCUUGUCCUAAGAUUCGUGCAAGCUAUAUAUAGGGUAUAGAUUGUGGUUACACGUGAACUCGCGUGCAAAAAAAUCCAACUCAAUAUAUACAUACAUACAUACAUACAUACAUACAUACAUACAUACAUACAUACAUACAUACAUACAUACAUACAUACAUACAUACAUACAUACAUACAUAUAUAUAUAUAUCACUCGGUUCAUAUGUACCUACAAUCUACACUGUUGAUGUGUUCCAAGAUUCGUGCUGCAAAAUGUACCUAACCUUAACCAAAUGAAUGCUUACUAUAGGGAGAAAAGAUAAUUAGGAUUAGGUUGGUUCACAAUAUGUAUAACAUGUAUGUUGCAUUUUUUACCAAAUAAAAUUUUCAAUAAUAAUUAUAUAUGACAUUUAUAUAUCUAGUGCAUUGUAUUUCUCUAACCCUUAUUUUGUUUAUAACAUGAUAUUUAGUCAAAAUGAGAAAACAAUAUAUCUACUAUAUCACCAAAUUGUCGUAUUGCAAAAAUGAUAUUUCCAAAAUGAUAUAUAUCCUACCAUCAAAAACUACAUAAACAAGAUAAUUUAUAUAAACAAGGUAUUUUACACUUGUAAAAAAUAUAGUAUAACGUAAAUAUCAUGCAUGUUACAUUUUGUUAGCACCUAAUAUAUAUACUUACCCUAAGAUUCGUGCAAGAUACAUAUAGGGUGUAGAUUGUGGGUACAUGUGAACUCGCGUGAAAAAAAUCCAACUCAUAUAUAUAUAUAUAUAUAUAUAUAUAUAUAUAUAUAUAUAUAUAUAUAUAUAUAUAUAUAUAUAGGACACUCAUAUGGGGCACCAUGGUGCCCGGGCACCAUGGUUUCAAAUGCACAAAAUCACUCAAAUUUUUCAAAAUUUUCAAAUUGUGAGUAUAUACCUAGUUAUAAGAAUUCGAUUCAUACCUAUACCUAUCAACAAAACAACUCAAAUUUAACUUUAUUUCACAAUCCAUGAUUACAUACCUAACUAAUUAUAUGUAUGGAUGCUAUAUACCUAGAAUCAAAAUCUAACAAAAACAAGUUCAAAUUCAGUUCAAACUUGCUUUCAACUAGUUAGUAAAGUAGUUAAUAUUAAUACCUAAAUAAUUGAAAAAGUUUCAUGCUCAUUUGAAUUGGGUAUAUACUCAAUUUCAACAAUGGUGCCCGGGCACCAUGGAGCACCAAACAAAUUUACUAUAUAUAUAUAUAUAUAUAUAUAUAUAUAUAUAUAUAUAUAUAUAUAUAUAUUAGUAUAGACAAGAGGAUAUAGUAGUAUACAGACUAGAGGAAAGCAGCUGCUCGCGUGGCGUUGGAAAGAGUUAGGAGAAAGCCCACAUGCACGCAUUGGACUGGAGCCUGGAAAAAGGAAGUGAAGGCCCACACGCGCGCUGGAAAAGAAAGGGAAGGCCCACGCGCGCGGCAAGGUGCAUGUAUUCCGUUUAUGUCGUCUUGCCCGCGCGCGCCUCCCGGCGCGCGUUCAGUCGCGCAAUAGCGACGCCCCUCCUCUCCCCUUUUUCCUCCCCUUCUUCUCUUCCUACUAUACCAUAAAAUUUUUAAAAAAUAAAAAUAAUAAAGUUAGAAAAAUUUAUGUAUAGAAUUACUUAUAUAUAAAAAAUAUUUGAAUUCAAAUUCAAAUUUGAAUCGGAUAUAUAAACUUUUGACAUAAAAACUUUGGGUCGAUAAACUUUAGGUGUAUAAACUUUAAAUAUAUAGAAAUACUAUAUAUAAAAAUAUUUGAAUCAGAUAUAUAAACUUUUGACUUAUAAACUUUGGGUCUCUAAAAUUUAGGUCUAUAAAUUUUAGGUGUAUAAACUUUAGAUAUAUAGAAAUACUAUAUAUAAAAAUAUUUGAAUUCAAAUUUAAAUUUGAAUCGGAUAUAUAAACCUUUGACUUAUAAACUUUGGGUCUCUAAACUUUAGGUAUAUAAAUUUUAGAUGUGUAAACUUGAGGUGUUUAAAUUUUAGGUGUAAAAAUUUACUAAAAUAAGAAAGUAAUACGGUGUAAAAAAUAAAAAAAAAGAAAUCAUGUGGGGGAGAGGGACCGAUCGCUACCGAGCGAUCGCUUGUUAGGACUUUCGGCAUGCUAACGGAAAUGGUUGGUUAAACGAUUGAUUGCUCCCGCACGAGUGCACGAUACAUUAUGACACCACAUUGUGCUCAAAUUUGAGGAUCGAAAUCUAUGGUAUGAUAUUUCUGUCUAAUGGAGAAGGGAUAAAAAUAUCAUCUCGAGUUGGUCGUUCACUACAUCCGACACUUCAUCAGCAGCAACAUGUGGUGUCUCUCACUAAAAACAAUAUUCCUAUACAUGAACCUCUUUAGAUUGCAAAUGGCCAGUAACUCGUCACGUUUAAAAAAAAACUUUCUCUAUUUUCGUGUGCGGGUUCCUAAGAGGGCUGCACCGAAAAAUCGAUUUUCAAAAACAGGCCUCUUAAGUGGACUGCACGCAAAAAAUACAAUUUUUUUUAUCUCACUUUAAAAUUUUCAAUUCUUCUCUUUUCCUUUCCCUUUUAUUACUCCCUACUCUCUCUCUCCUCUCCUCUUCUCCCAUCCAAGUGUGCGGCGCGCGGGAGGCGGCCGGCUCGCGGCCGGGGGCGGGCGGGAGGCGGCGCGGUGACUAGCGACCGGCAGCCAGGCAUCGUGGCCAGGAGCGGGCGACGCGCGGCUCGGGACCGUGCGCGACAGCUGGAUCCAAGCCGCCCCUACCGCCCUCGACGACGACGAGGAGAGGAGGCGGCCUGGAGCGGCCCCGCAAUGGUCCUAUCCGCCGCCGUUGUUGCGACGCCUGGAUCCGCCGCCGACAAUGACGGCGAGGAGGAGGUGGCCGGGAGCGGGGCGCAGCGCUGCCGACAAUGAGGAGGAGGCGACCGGGAGCGGCGCCACCCUCCCCACGCGCGGCGGUGGCGGAUCUGGCAGUAGUGAGACACGGUGACCGUCGCACGCGCAGAUACGACGAUGGCCGCCCUCCUCCGCACGGUGGUGGCGGAUCAGACGGGGGGAGGCGCGACAGCAGCCAAUCCGGUGGUGGGGAGGCAUGGGGGUGGCGGAUCUGGCUCUGGCGACGGCGAUGAGAGCAGGUGGACCCAGCGACGGUGACCACGAGGAGGGCGGCGGCGACAGGUUCUAGGGGCAGGGUUUCGGGUUUUUUUUUUAUUUUAUUUUUUCGGUUUUUUAUUUUGGCGACAUAAGCACCGUCACACAAAAAUAGUGAUUUUUCCGGACCCUUUGGAGCAUGCGGCUAGCCAUACCACACGCGAAAACCCUUUCUUGCCGCACGGAAAAAUUGUUUUUUAGUAGUGUCUUGCUCUCCAUGCUUACUUCAACAUCUGUAGUGGUACAUGAAUCCUCUACGGAUUAGAUGAGAAUGCGCCCAUGAACUCUAAUUGAACAUCUUCUUAUUUGUGCAGUCCACACAUCGACACAUAAUAUAUUUGCUCAUCCUAAUUUUUCUGUCAUUAUCCGCAAAAUUUAUGAAUUCAGUGACUCCCUCCUAUACUCUGGGAUCAAAAGGUGAAUAUCGGACAUCCAUCAAAAGGUGAAUAUCGGACAUCCAACUUCUUUUUUGAGAAUUACACAGUACAUAUCUUCGAAGACUGGGCCGGCAAAUCCUCCUGGAGAUUGAUGAAGUCUCCACAGGCGCCUCGCUAUACGUCGCCUACCAUUGAAAGACGAAGUCUCCACAGGCGCCUCGCUAUCGAUGGGUACGUCGCCUACCAUUGAAAGCACAAUGUUGUUAAAUCCUAAAAAAUUCGCUCCCAUGGGAGUCGAACUCAGGAUCUAAAGUGCUAUUGAGACUCUUAUAACCACUAGGCUAUAUGCCCUUUUACAUCGUACAUCCAACUUUGGUCCAUCUACGGUCAAUAAUAUAAAACUUCUCUUUUCCUGGUGACUUUGUGUUCAGAAUUCAGAAUCGUGUUUUUUUUUCCUUUUUUGCUGUGGGAGAAUACAGAAUCUUUUUAGAAUGUCAACCAAAACAAUUUACUGAAAAAAAUAUGAAUAAUCUUUUUUUAUAAGGAAAGAAAAAAAUAUUUAUUUUGCUGUGGGAGAAUUUAAAUAUUAUUAGAAUGUCAACCAAAACAAUUCACAUAAAGAAAUGAAUAUUUUUUAGAAGGAAAUAAAAAAUAUAUUAUCAGAGCCAGGUUUCGAUCCUGGGACCUGUGGGUUAUGGGCCCACCACGCUUCCGCUGCGCCACUCUGAUCGUUAUGCUCAGAGGCAUAACAAAAUAUAAUUAGUACUUGUUUGUAACAAUGCAAUUUUGUCUGUUAAAAGGCCAAUAUGUGGAAAUAACGGUUUAGUAUAUUAUGAGUGUGUUCACUGCCAUGUGUAGCAAUCAGACACGAAGCACACGGUUGUAUAAACAAAUGCAUGCUAAGCAAUUUUUAAGAAAGCACAGUAGAGAAGGCUUCCACGGUAUAUAUAUUAAAUAAAACGUAAAUCUAGAUCGAGAAGCCACUCGUUUGUGACGCGCCUUAGAGCUAUCCGACCCCGUGUAGGCAUAUAUGCGCAUAGCAUGAGGGGAAAAAAGAGAGAAGUGCUACUACACAUCUACACGUUCAUGUCUUGUUUGUUAUUAUAUCAUACAUGCCAUUUUUCCUUCUAAUAAAAUUAUCUCUUAAUUACUUAUUUGAUCUAUAAUCCGACAAUACCAAUGUGUUCGUUGUAAUUAAAUGUUUAUAACAAGAUCUUACAUGAUUAUAUUAUGAUAAAAAAAUAUUUAUGUUUGCAAAUUACUUUUAUUAUAUAUGUAUGUUACUUUUAUCAUAUAUAUAAAUUACUUUAAGAUUUGAUUAAAUUACUUCUUAUACAUUCAUAAUGCUUGUUGAUUACUUUUUAUUAUUGUUUUUAGUCAAUUCCAUAAUUUGUGCAGAUUAAAUUUAAUUUCUUGAUAGACUCAUGUUUUUAUCCCUACAACAGAUUCACUUCUAUUGUUGUAGCAACUCAGUUCCAUUUUGUGCUAAGUUACUUUUUUGAUUACUUUCAAACUUUAUUAAACUUACUUUCAUAAAUGUAUUUACAUAAAAAUCUUCUCUACACUUUGCUUGUGAAUUUACUCCCCAGUUUCUUACUACAACUCAGUAAUAAUGUAAUUGCCUCUAAUGUUAUAUAGAGUUACUUCUAGUGCAUAUCUAAGUUACUUCUAUAAUUUAAAUAAAUUACUUUUAUAUUAAUAAAAUGUUUGAAUAUAUUCGACAUGGAUCUCGUUUUGUCACAUAUUUUGAAUAGAGUACAAUGAUGUAAAUAGAUCGUAAAAAUAAUAUGUGAUUUAAAAGAUAUAAGUCACUAAAGAAAGAUUUAUAUAUAGGAUGGAGUGGUCUCCGGUUAGGACUAAUUCACUACUGUGCACUAUCUAGUCACAUCCUAAAUAAAAGGUUUAUAUACGAAAAUUAAAACGAUAACAAAACAAAAGCAAGACAUAACAAAUUACAAAUAUUCAAUCCAUGAUUGCACCAAUGGACGAUGAGAAUCCUUGAGCCUAGGUAAAUGUAGGCUCAAAUCUAAUUUUAAACUUCUCUCCCAAGAGAGAACAUCAGGCUACAAACCAUUAAGAAUCAAGCUAUUUCUCUCCUUCCAGAUAUUCCAGGCAGCCAAGAGCAGAAGUUCUAUGAAACAAGAAUAGGAAAAGGAAGCACUCUAGGAUUGAAUCAUUUGAUUAAAUUCAUGUGUACUGAUCCAAUUCCACCCCAGCUGACUCCAACAAAGAGAACUAAAAUCACAUGAAAAGAAGAGAUGUUCUCGAGUUUCCGUACCAUUGUGGAGGCAACAAGAACAAUAAAACAGUUGCAUGGGCUGGAACACAAUGUUUUCUAUCUAAAAGAUCCCUUGUAUUAACUUUGUCCAUGGCUAAGCAAAUGGUUAUAUAAACUUUGGAAUGAAGAGGGAGAUUGGAAAACUUGCUAAGGAGGUACCUAUCAAAGAAAAUUUUGACUCAUGUAGAGAAAAAAAAUCAAGGUAUUAUCAUUUCUGGUCGGUACUCAUGAUGGUUAAAAACAUCUCCGGAUCAUUAAAGUGCACGGUGGGACUCAGGUUAGAGUCUAGGAGGAUCAAUGGAACGGGAAUACUCUCUUUGCUGCUUGUUACCCAGCCUUGUAUAACUUUGUGAUAAACAAGAAUGAAUCAGUGGCAAGGGUCAUGAGUAAAAGACCUCUAUAGGAGGGCUAUAGUGGGACAUAAUUUAAAAGCUUGGUUGGAAGUGGUCUCAAAGGUUAUAUCAAUAAAAUUGACCGAGCAAAAUGAUACAUUUUUGUGGGAGGCAAUGGGCGUUUCUCAGUUAACUUAAUGUACAAAGCAAUCAUGUAUAGGGAAGCCAUUCCUAAAAAGGACAUGAUUUGGAAACUCAGAAUACCACUAAAAAUUAAAAAAUUAUUGUGGUAAUUAAAGACUGGAGUAAUUUUAACAAAGGAUGAUUUAGUCAAAAGGAAGUGGAAGGGUAGUGUUAGGUGUUGUUUUUGUGAUUCUAACAAAUCAAUUCAACACCUUUUGUUUGAUUGUAUUUUGGCAAGAUUCAUGUGGAAUGCAGUCUUUAUAUCUUUUGGAGUUCAUCCGCCUAGGAAUGUUGCUAAUCUUUUCAGCAAUUUGCUAAAUGGGGUUCAACCCAAGCUAAGAGCUCAAAUCCUUGUGGGGAUCGCAGCUUUGUGUUGGGUGGUUUGGCUAUGCCAGAAUGAUACAGUCUUUAAUAGCUCCAAUACUAAUUUUUUUUGUUACAGGUGAUUUUCAAGGGGACUUUUUGGACAAGGCAAUAGUCUUUGCUACUUAAGGAGGAAGAUAGCCAAAAAAUGAGAGAAUAUUGCUUGAUGUUGGAGAAGAGAGUUUCUGGCUUUUCGCAAUGAAGGGGUCAAACUUAGAAAAUGAUUGGGAGAAUAAUACUCUCUUGUUUUGUUGUGUGGUUCGGUUGAAACUCGUAUUAACUUUUUAAGAAUUGUUAUUGCUAGAGCCUAGUUGCUUGACAUGUUGUUAAACCUUUUGUAAGAGAGUGAGUCUAUGUACUCCUAUAAGUUUUGUUGGGGCUGUGUACAUCUUUUUGGAUGUAGAGACCGGUUUAAUCAAUUAUCUAAAAAUCAACAGUACACGGUGCUCUUUAAUAUGGAUGUAUAUAAAGAUAAUCAGGCUGCCUUCCAACCUGCAUAUAUUGCUGUUUGUUUAGAGUGAAGCUGCUGAUUUGUUUCUAUACUAUCUUACCUGGUAUUGGAUAAGGUAUAUUGUAAAUUAUAUGGUUGCUACGUACUCCCUCUGUUAAAAAAAAACUAAUCUAGUAUCGGCUGUGACAUGUCCAAAUUCAUAGUACUAGAAUAUGUCACAUCCGAUCCUAGAUUCAUUUUUUAUGAGAUGGAGGGAGUACUCCGUCUGGAUAAACAUGUCGCACCCAAACAACUCUGAAUUGAAAAUCCGUACUAUACUACCUCCAUCCCAUAAAAAAUCAACCUCGUACUGGAUAUAACACAUCCUAAUAUAAUGAUUCUAAAUAUGUCGCUGUCUAGAUUCGUUGCAUUAAAGUCUACAUUCGUUUUUUUUAAGAUUCGUUGCAUUAAAGUCCUACAUUCGUUUUCUUUAAGACGGAUGGAGUAUGCAUGUGACACUACUAAUUGCAUUUUAUUUCUUAGGCCAGGUUUAGUUCCCAAUUUUUUCUUCAAACUUCAAACUUUUUCAUCACAUCGAAACUUUCUUAUACACGUAAACUUCUAACUUUUUUCUUUAAACUUUCAAUUUUAAUCAAACUUCUAAAUUUGGCGUGGAACUAAACACACCCUUAGCUUCUUCCUGAGCAGGAGUAACAUCAAUACACGUCACACUGAAUGUGCCCAUCCGUGGAAUCUAAGGAAAAAAGAAUAUCAUUAUUCUUCAACGAGAGAGCAGUUGCAUGACUGAAACAUAUUCUUUUUUAUAUUACACUACCAUACCUAAUCAUAGGCAAUACACAAGCUCUGGAAGUCUUGAUUACCAACAAGUCCGCAAACAAACUAUAGACAUGCAAGGCUGCGAACAGAUAACCAAUUAACCCCACCUAACAACCAUGUCGAAGAACUUGACUGGAACAAUAUUAACCAACAUAUAUUAAGCUUUCAAGUCAAAUGCACGUUGGUCAUAGGUAGUCAUUUCGUUCAUGCGUACAACAUUCAGGCCACAAAUCUCGUACUGUCAUACACAAACACAUGCACUUAACCAUGUCAUUAGUAAGCCAGUGGCAACUGGAAAAGAUUUUUCAGACAAUCAGAACUAGAACUCCCUCUUAACCAAAUAAAUGAAGCGAAUAAACUGUGUCAUCUAAACCGUCAGGACAAACUCUACCUCAUGAAGCUCCAACCUAAGGAACGAAGUUCACACGCGCGCAUUUGAAUGGAGUGACAGCUUAAGUGCGUGCACAGCGUGAUUUUGCAUUCCCAGCCAGGAGAACUGUACAUUCUACUAUUGGAUCCUACCCUUGUACUUACAGAAACCAGUAAACACGGGAUUACAAGCGAAAUCUGGGCACACGUAGGAGGGUUAUCUUAGCUUCGACUAGAUCUCAUCCUGCUCCAUUGGUUCUGCUCCGUUUCCACUAUGGAUAGAACUUGAGGCAUUGACAUGCCUCCUGAAACGACAAUCUCUGCAACACCACGAAACAAGGCAAUUACCAAAGCUAUUCAAAGUUGAAGGGAUGAAAAUUCAUUUAGCUUAGAAAUAGAAGAUGCGCAUACCGAUGCCUUCACGAACAGAUAAGUUUGGUCUAAUCACAUCACUUGAGUUGACCAGAAAUAUGUCCCCAAUGUAGAGAUGGUUGGUUGGUACAUAUACACAGUACAUUUGUUCCUCACUGGAAUAAUCCUGGCGUAAGGAAGUAAACGCGUAUCAAUAUUUUGUCCAGACGGUUAGUUAGCCAAAAGUAUGCAACUAAGAAAUGCUAGUGCAAAACCCUAAUACAUAGAAGAGCACAUGAACAUCCAUGAAAAAUAUUCAAAUGCAACAUAUCAACUAAUGCAGCUGCACUGCCUGUGCUAACAACUAAGGAAGCUCCACAUAUUUGGACAACAAAACAAAUAAAUUUUAACUCAUUCACAGAUAAAUUGUUUCAGCAAAUAAAUUGACUAGCAGUUAACUCGUUCACAGAUUAACAGUUUAGCUCAGAAUGAGUAUCACAUUUUUUUUUAGUUUGUAAAGUUACUUAUAAUACUGGUAUGAGAAAAAAUGUAUGGAGAACUGGCCAGGCACCUGUCUAUUUCUAAGGCUGUGUACCGUGGCUUUGUUUAGUUCCAAACUUUUUCUUCAAACUACCAACUUUUCCAUCACAUCAAAACUUUCCUACACAUAAACUUCCAACUUUUCCAUCACAUCGUUCCAAUUUCAACCAAACUUCCAAUUUUGACGUGAACUAAACACACCCUGUGUUCUUCCCCCAACUUUCCCAACUCAUCUCCAUCGUUUUCCGCGCGCACGCUUUUCAAACUACUAAACGGUGUGUUUUGCAAAAAUUUUCUAUACAAAAGUUGUUUUAAAACAAUCAUAUUAAUCCAUUUUUCAAAAAAAUUAAUACUUAAUUAAUUAUGUGCUAAUGAGUCGCUCCAUUAUCCAUGCGGAGGGAAUGAAUUCCCAACACAAGGAAACGAACGCACCCUAAGUGCUUUUCCUAGGCCAAUCCGAAAUUUAAAACAUUGGCACUCAGCAUGGGAUGUUAAUAUCAAGAUUGGGAAAGGUCACUUGUUUUAGGAAAAAAUAGAAAUAAACACCCUGCACCAAUAAUUUCCAUUAUAAUUAGCAAGAUUAACUAUCCUGCAAUUACCAUAUCUUCAUUAUGUUCUUCCACUUUCACUAACAACCUCUUCCCCUUCUAUAUUCAUACCUGUUUCUGCUAUUUCAAAAAACCAGGUGCUACUGUGCUACUACUGCACUAAUUACCACAGGGCACCCUCAAAACCAUCACUGAUACUUAAGUCAUGCCUAAAUAGAAGUCAAACCUCCUGCUGUCAGGUGUGAACAUCACACAGCUAUCCACCAUGCAUAGAAUCACUAAACCGCUAGUUACAGUAGCACGUGCUCAAUCAUUAUGUUGGACCACUAUCACUUCAGUUGAUUAGCUGCAUGCAUGCAUAUCUCAUAAUUUGUUAGCCAAUUUUGUUAGUUGCUUUCGUCUGUUUGUGCAAAGUUCGAUGACUGGCAAAAGGGUCCAUGAUGUUAUCAGUGGCAGCUACUUUAAACAAAAUGUAAACAGAUCACCAAAACUUGGUGAAACAAUCUCAAUACAGUGAUAACACACACAAAUAUAAUGCAUGAACAAUAACUAUGAUACUAGGAAAUGAAGAGAGAACAAUUGAAUUAUAAUAGCUAGCACCACUCAAACCUGAAGUAGAACUUCCGAAGUGAUGAAUCCAAAUGCAUAUUCGCCAAUUCUGGGAUGCCUUAUAAUGACCACUUCCUUGAAUGCAUGUUUGUUCUGAUCUGCAUGAAAAACCAAAUUAGCGAUUGACAAUUAAAUUGUGGUUUAUGGAAUCACAUUAAGGUGGAGAAUAUAACCAGGUGAAAUGGCAGCACUGAUCUGCUUGGAUGCAUUGUAAAUAUGGCGAACAAAUGGCAUUCUCUUUAUAAACCACUCUCCCAGACCGAGAAUAGAUGCCCCCAGCCAAGAUGACAUGAACACACCAACCACAAAAAUGAAUGAUAUUGAAGUUACAAAACCAAGUCCUGCAAAUAGUGUGAAAAUCGUCAACUUCAGAAUCGAGUGGAAAUCCAUUAUAAACCAUGAGAAACCACAGUAGAAAGAAGGCACACACAACUACAGAAGAGUGGGUACCCAGAACAACCUAUGAACAAAGUUGGCAGACGAUGCACAAUAAGUAGGUUAUGAUCUUUGAAAAUUUUGCUAUGAUAUCUAGUUAUAUACUCUUUAUUUCAUAAGAGUACAGAGGUUGGAAAGCAAGUUUGAGGAAAAGCUUCAGUCAAACCUACAUCUAAUUUUAAGGGCAGAACUUUUUUUUUUUAACAAAAGAAGAGGGUGUGGGUUUGUGCAUAAAUAGCAUUGAAAGGUCCGCCUGAUUCUUUAAGAACAAGAAGCAAUUGCAUCACAAAAUACUUCCUCUGUCCCAGAAUGCUGGACGUUCAAGGAUGGUUGAGCCAAAUUAGUUGUGACUGAAAAUGGCCAUUUUGCCCCUAAUUUAUGAGAUUAGAGCUAAUCAUGUGGAUGCUUGAGUAGUACUAGUACACUGCCACAUCUGCUAUUUCAUGGCUUGAGUAGUUCUAGUACACUGCCACAUAUGCUACUUUAUGGAUUAAACUAAUGCAACCAGUCCAAUCAAUUCAAAACUUUUCACUUUCUUUAUGGAUGCUUUUCUAGGAGUCUGUAACUGUGUGCUGUUGGGGAAGUGCAGCGUCAACAAAUAUGGGACAUUUGCUUGUGAGCAGAACGACCUCCUUUGUGGGACGGAGGGAGUAUGAGGUAAACAUAAAUGUAUGGAAUUAAGUUGAGAACAGUAAUGAAGAAAGAACAACAUAUCCAAUUAAGUAUAUGGGAAUAAACAAAAAAAAAAUGAAGCUUUAUAGCUCAUCUAAAUUAUAAUUUGAAUGUCAUAGACACAUAGCAAUCAUAGGACAAUUAGCUGUUCAAAAAACAACAUAAGACUAUCAACACAAGAUAAAAGCUAAGGAGUGAUGUCUACUAAUAUCAUCUGUGUAAAGCAAAAUACAGACAGUCAGACAGAGGAAAGAAGUAAUGACUAAUUAGAUGGGACAGGCAUUAUGCGAAUAUACGUGAUAAUGUGAAUAAAGGUCUUAAGCGUAAUGGCAAUAGUAGCCUAUAUGCUAAUGAUAUUUUGGUGCAUACACAAAUUUAUGGUACAUAUGUAUUUGUGAUAACUCAAAAGAAAAGUCCAGUGACUUGGAAGAACCUACAAACUACAAAUGAAAGCAAAUAUUGCUGGAGUUGGUAAGGAAUAAAGUAAACAAGAGUAGUUCUCCAAUACUAAAAAGAAAAACAUAUUUCUAAUAGGAUUAUAAUUCUCUUGAUCAACUAAGUAGUAAUCUGGACUGACAAUCAUACAAUAGUUCAAGUACUGUGCAUACCAAAUAUAUUGAUUCCAAGAUGAGCAUAUAUUGGGGAGAAAAACCCAUCCACAAAGCGAAAGAACCACCAUGUGAUAUAGAAUGUAACUGCAAUUGGAAAGAGGAUUACACUGAAACAGAAGGGAGAAAAUCCCAUUAGCAAAUGAGAAAUACAGGAAAAACUUUACAAUGAAAUCUCCAAUGUUAGUAUUAAGUUUUUAUUUAAGUACACAAAACUGCAAUAACAUUUGCAAUAUGGCAAAUAAUAGCUAAAAUAGUACACUAUUUACUGCUUUUAAAAUUAUUUCACUUAGAUUCUCAUGCCCCCAGAGAUAUUUUACCAAAGCAUAGUAGAAAUAAAAGAAACGAAGAAAGUAUCCAUGCUAUAAUUGCAAACAACCAAAUAGAAACUUAGAUUCCAUGCUGGCAGUCUGGCACUACGAUUGAACUGUUGUUUUCCUUUCUGUAGCCAAAAGACCAAUUAUUAUGAUAGGCAAUUCUAUUCAUGCUAUUUUUAUAUUGAGUCCGUGAUACAUCCCUUAUGAGAGAGAUAUUUCAACAAAUAUAAAGAAAAAAAAUUGAAUUUAUGGGAUAAAUUGCAUGAGAUUAGGAAAUGAAGUGAAGACUUCAUGGAUUAAUUAAAUUCAAUCUUUAACUUAUUUGACUCCUUUUCUCUCCAAAUAGACCAAGUUCAUGAAAGGAUAGACUAAAGUCCCUCUUAUCAGAUUGAGAUCUGCAAUCAUUUAUGAUAAACAUCCAAUCCAUUUCAUCAUGUUCAUUUAUAAUCUGCAUCUAUCAGAUCAUCUGACUGGAGAAAUGCGACUGUGCACCAUAAUGGUAUCAAUUCAGUUUCUGUCAUUCUUGCAAAACCAAAAAAUUCAGAAAGAACUAGCGUAUAUUUUACUUUCAUUUAUACUUCAAGAAAGGAUGGAUAUGACUGGUUGGGAAACACAUUGAGCAGCUCAACUAGUACAGUGAACAGCACAUAAGGGCAAUCAGGUUCAAGGGGUCUGAACACCAAGAUAUGCUUGAAUUAAGACAAGGUAAAAUAUUACAAUUAAAUUUAAAGUGGGAAAAUGAAAUUCUAAAUGAAAUUCUGUAAAGUUUUUCCAAGGUCCUAACUCCUAACAUCACUAUCAAAGUAUCAACUGCUGUCAGCAAGAAAAACAUGUGUGUCACCACGGUGCAAAUUUCGCAAUGCUGGCUGUCAAAACUUUUGCGGUUGAGCUACAGUCUCAAUUGGCAUAAUUGAGACCCCAACUCCCAAUGCUCUAAUCAAGACGGCAACACCAUUGGCAUUAUACACUAUAAGUAAAAUAGCAACAUCAUCACCAAACUGAACACGAGUAAGGCAUGCAUCCAGACUCAAUUCUGCGGAUCCCAAUCUAACAGCAAAACCAACAUGCCCACAAGUUUGAAGCUUGUUCGUUUUGUGUCCCAAAACUUAGACAUCUAAGCUUAAAGAGAAAAUUUUUCCGACGCCACGAAACUCCCGUGGUAAUCCACCGGUCCAAUUUCGGAUCCAAAUUCUGAACCACGAAAGCAAAAAUCCUCCAAAAUCGAGGAGCACAAAAACAGGCGACGUACCAUCCGGUCAUGAACUUCUUGGACGCCCAGCUAUGCACAACCUUGUGAAACGCCUGAAAAUCAACAAAACCACAAAGAAAAGGCGUCACAUUUCGAAACACGCAUUACAGCUUCGCCACGCCCUCCAGAUCAAAUCUGGCUCGAUGCUACAAAAAAAAAAAAGAUUCCGUGGAGGAAAGGGUGCCGGACCUCACGGCCGGUCUGCGCGGCGGCGGCGGCGGCGGAGGCGGAGGAAGGCUUGGACUCGUCGUCGGAGUCGGAGUCGCGGCCCGCGGCCGAGGCGGAGGCGGAGGCGGAGGUGGCGACGGCGGCGGGCGGGACGAGCAGCAGCUCGCGGUCCCGGUCGCGGUCGCGGUCGCGCGCGGGCAUCGGGAUGUGCACCGCCGAGGGCUUCGCGUCGCCCAUCGCCAUCCUCGCCCUCGCCGAGCAGCUCUCCUCCAGCUACCUCUCCCUCUCUGGCUUGGCUUGUUUGUGUUUGGGAAUUUCUUGUUUCUUGCUGCGCCUCGCCCUCGAUGUUUGCUAGGCGGUCCAUGGUAUUGGACAUUUUUUUGGUCUAAACCAAUGACAUUUUCGUGAAUUCAUUUUUUUUCUUAAUAUUUUGAGCUGAGCUGUUUCAUGGUUUCACAAAAAAAGAUAAAUAAUUAGGUCCGUCGUGUAUAGGAGUAUAAAGACCGGUAUGGGCUACCAGCUUACGGGUCCAUGUGUCAAGAGAGAUUAUAGUCCAUUUUUUUGUUUGAUUAUAUAUUAUUUAAUAGAGUAAAAUACACCGGCGGUUCUUAAACUUGUCAGGAGGUUUCACUUAGGUCCACGAACUUGCAAAGCGCACAUCGAGAUAUCUAAACUUGGUUUAUUGUAUCAUCUAGGUCCAAAGCCGCGUAGACCGUGCUUUUGCCUACGUGGCACGCCACGUGCACGAUGACAUGAAAUUUUUUUAUUUUUUUCUCCCUUCUUCCUUCUUUUUUCUCUUUCUUCCUUCUUUUUUCUCGAUGGUGAGAGGCGGCACGAGGGGAUGGGCUGUCACGGUGGUGCUUGGCAAGGCGCCGGCUGACCGGCGCGGCGGAGGCGGGGAAGCCGACGUGAGGAGGCCAUGGCCGGGGUCGGAGGCGAGCUUGCGGCAGCGGCGAGCGCGCGGGGGCGGUGUUGAUGGGAGGAGGACAGCGGCGGCGAUGCCGAACCACCGCACACCAUGGGCGCCGCCACUGCCGCGGUUUCGCCGAGCCACCGUGCCGGAGGCGAGCGCGCGACGGGAGGGAGACAGCGGCGCUGACGGGAGGGAGGGGGACGGCGGUGACUCAGGGAGGAGGACGGCGGCGCUGACGGGAGGGAGGGGGACGACGGCGACUGGGGGAGGAGGACGACCGCGCCGACACACCGCUGUCGCGUUGGCCACGUCGUCGCGAGCCGGCCGCCUCGCAUGCGACCGCCCGCGCCACGGCCGCUGUCCCGAGCUCCCCCGUGCCGGCCUUUCCCUUCCAUCGCCGCCUCCCGUUUCCGCCCGAGCCGAGACGACGCCGCCGCCGAGCUUUCUUCUCCUCUCCACAGCCACCAGCUCCUCUCUCAUCGCCACCCCGAGCUCCCCCAUGCCGGCCUCUCCCUUCCAUUGCCGCCGCCCGUUUCCGCCCGAGCCAAGACGACGACGCCGUCGCGAGCUUUCCUCUCCUCUCCACAGCCGUCAGCUCCUCUCUCACCGCUGCCUCUCUCUUGCGCUGCCGCUAGGUCGCCGACCCCGGCCAUGGCCUCCUCGCGCCGGUCGGGCGCCGCCUCUCCCCACCUUCUUAGGAUCUCAACCGGAAAAAAAAGUAGGAAGAAAGAGAAAAAAAGAAGGAAGAAGGGAGAGAAAAAUAAAAAAAAUUCCAUGUCAUCGUCCACGUGGCGUGCGCGGCUUUGGACCGGGAUGAUACAAUAAACUAAAUUUAGGGACCUCGAUGUGCGCUUUGCAAGUUCAUGGACCUAAGUGAAACCUUCUAACAAGUUUAAGGACCGCUGGUGCAUUUUACUAUAUUUAAUACUAAAAGAAUUACAACUCUAAUCUUUUUCUUUCAUGUUUGGUUAUAUAUUAAACAAUAAUAUAAAUCACAAUAUUAUUUUAUGAAAAAAGAAAAGAAAAGAAAGAGUCAAUCCAUUCUAUGCCAUCGACAAAGCACGGCGCGGGUUCUACAAUAUGUCAUUGAUAAAGCUCAGUUCUACAAUAUAUCUUCGAACAACUCAUUUUUUUCCUUAUAUGCCAUCAGCAUUAGUAAAUUGUUAGUCAUACGCCAUUAAGGGAGGAAAAAUGUCAAUUUUACCCCCCUAGGAUAAAAUUGAGAUUUUGCACAAUGCCAUGUCUCAUUAAAUAAUCUUGGAUGAUAAAAAGACAAGUGAUUUUUAUUUUUCAUCAGUGAGAAGAAAUAGUGGGUUGUAACCAAUGAAAUCCAUGAGUGCGCAUGAUACCCUAGGGGCAAAAUGGAUGUUUUCUUCCUCUUAACGGAAUUUGACUAACUAUUCACUAGCGGUGAUGGCAUGUAAGGAAGAAAACUAUUUGUUCGAUGGUAUAUUAUAGAACUGAGCUUUGUCAGUGGUACAUUGUAAAAUCCAUGCCUUGUCAAUGGCAUAGAAUGAAUUAUCUAAAAAAAAGACUACCCAAUGCAGACUAAUGAGUCUUCGUAUUUAAUUUCACCAACGAGCGCAGUAACGUGUUAGAAACUUGAUUGGGCCGCACACGUGUUUGGGAUUGUGAUGUUUCUAAACAAGCCUAAGCAAGCACAAGGAGAGCAAUACAUCUAUAUAUUUGCAGCAGCAACAACAAGUUUAGGAGGCAUCGAAACAGAAGAGAAUAGGCAGCAAUAGCUUGGUUAAGGUAACUUGGCAAACGAUAGUGGCAUGCUAGUCCUAGCCAGGAACAUUCGUUAUCUCCUUUCCUACCUCUCCUCCCGCCUUCAAUCCUUUUCUUAGUUUGUAGGAGUAGAACCUUUUAGAGUUGUAUCUCCUUUCUUCUUAUUGCUCUUGAAUUUCACUUCAACCAUUCGAUUGUGCUUGUGAUUUGUAUUGAAAAAGGUUACUGAUAUUUAAGCUGAGAGAAGAUAUCCCAAACAAACUAGUAGAGAGACACCAAUCCCUACCGAGUUCGCCAAGCAAGCUACUAUGGCAAAGUGAGGAUAUGGAUUUACUUUUCAGGUGGAUGGAGUCCGAGCAGAGGCAAGUGGAGACAUAUCAAAGAAAGAGAGAUGUUCUAUUCUAUCUCAAGGCGGCAAUAGAAUCAUAGAUGCUAGAGUCCAGAAGAAGGCCAAAGACUUGAAAUUUUCAGUUGAGAAUGAGCAAUCCAAGGUGAUGCUCGCCAAAUGUCUGAUGAAUUGCUCUUGCUCUGAUGUUGAGCCCGAUGAAGUUGUUAGCUGCUGAGGACAUGAUCGGUACCACCUAUAUUGACAACCCUGAUCAGUCCAAGGUCACAUAUCAAGUGUUUGACAAUCGGCCUUGACGUCAAUGGUGGCACUGACUAAGUUGUCACUUUCUUCACCACAAACAAUAGAGACGCAUCAUUAGCAAUGAGUUAUUGAUAGUUAAGAUUGUAACAAUGGACCGAACAUGCCCAACGAAGAAAUGCCGGCGGGAAGGAAUCCAUAAUGACAAACUUUAUUGUCGAUGAUGGGAUUAGUUAAUGAAAAAGAUGAUCUCAACUAUCGCCAAUUCCUCAGUCCGUUCUUCUUUGGGCCAAAAGAAUACUCAAAUCUUUUUUUUAGAUAAAGGAUUAUCAAAUCCAGCCUCUACACCUUUGUGGGGUGUACAUAGCCAAAUAUUCGAACACGAGUACAUAAGUGGGGUUUGGAUGGGGCUAAAAAGUUUUAGCGCCCCUAUCACAUCGGAUGUUUGGACACUAAUUAGAAGUAUUAAACGUAGACUAAUGACAAAACCCAUUCCAUAUCCCUAGACUAAUUCGCGAGACGAAUCUAUUGAACCUAAUUAAUCCAUGAUUAGCCUAUGUGAUGCUGUAGUAAACAUGUGCUAAUUAUGGAUUAACUAGGCUUAAAAAUUUGUCUCACAGAUUAGCUCUCAUUUAUGCAACUAGUUUUGUAAGUAGUCUAUGUUUAAUACUCUAAAUUAGUGCCCAAACAUUCGAUGUGAUAGGGACUAAAGUUUAGUCCCUAGAUCCAAACACCCCCUAAGACUCUCCAUAAAAAAAGGUACAAACUACAGCAACUAACCUCUCCCAUUACAUGAGAGAUGAUAGCACAAAGGUUUUAAGAACAACAAAAGAAGAAAAAGACCAGGCUUCCAAUUUUGUUCCAAGGUUCCAGCCAUACACGGAGAAGAACUCCAACACACGCUUCUCUAGCAGUUUGCAAUAGCUCUUAAUUGUUUCUUCACCGACUCCCUUAAGAAGCAAAGACCAAGUCCUUGCCCAAUGCGUUCCCAUGAAAAUGACCAGCAAGAAAGAUGUAAGACUGGAGCCAUUAAAGACCACAUUGUUCCUAUAUAACCAAAUUGCCCAAAGAAAUGCAGCUAUGCCUACAAACAAUAUUCUCUUGAGCCUAGGUUCAACACAAUUCCAAUUCCUAAACAUUUGAGACAUGCUACACAGUUGCCUAAUCCCAAAAGAAUACUCAAAUCUUAUGUAGCCUGAUUUCCUUUUUUGAGAACUUGUAGCCUGAUUUUUGACGAUUCUCUCAUUCAACCCUACUUCACUCGUGUAGUCGUGUCCUUAGAUGAGCCGAAUUCGCUGAUGUGAAAGAGGUGGGUUGAGUUCAUGCAUGCACCGAAUUCAUUGGAGAGAAGUAGCAGUAUGCCGAAUUCUCUAAUAGGUUGAAUUAUUUGAUGGAAAAUUACUGGGACAAAUUCAGUGAUAGGCUGAAACCAUCAAUGAGAAGUGUGUGGACUGUAUUCAUUCCCUAUUUAUGUGCACUUUAGGUCUCUCAAUUUGUCGUCGAGUUUGAAAUCCAUCUCUAAACCACAAUAAACUCUAAAAACCAGUGCAAAUAAGGUCCUAGUUUGAAUGGUGGUUUCACUGAGAUGGCGCGCCUACGUGGUACUUAAAGUAAAAAAAAACCAUGGGACCAUGGGACCCAUAUGUCAGUGAUUGUCCAGUUAUUAGAAUAAAGAAAGUUGUAGUGGGACCCACGUUGCACGCGCCUCCUUCAACACCCCACCGGUGAGCCCAAUAAAUUGGAGAUCGGCAGUGACUCCUCCGCCGCGACCUCGUCCACGAUUUCUGCUAUAGUCUGCAUCGCGCCACAGCCCUGCAGCACCCCAGCUCCACACACGGACGUCCUCCGGCUCUAGCCAUUCUGGCCGCCCGCUGACGCCGACUCGCUCUCCAAGGUGGUGUUAAGCGGAGCACGGUGUCGACGUUCUGGACACGCUCAUCGGUGCUAUACAUCGAGCACGAUGGUCAGCAGGUCACCCGUGGAGGCCUAGUCGAGCACCGCUGUGAUGCAGUGCUCCAGGCCACGGCACGUCUUGGACAUAUUUUACUUUCAUUUAUACUUCAAGAAAGGCUGGAUAUGACUGGUUGGAAAAACACAUUGAACAACUCAACUAGUACAGUGAACAACACAUAAAGGGCAAUUAGGUUAAAGGGGUCUGAACACCAAGAUAUGCUUGAAUUAAGACAAGGUAAACUAUUACAAUUAAAUUUAAAGUGGGAAAAUGAAAAUUUAAUAUUUUUCUUUCAUGUUUGGUUUUAUAUUAAACAAUAAAUAGAAAUCACAAUCUUAUUUUAUAAAAAGAGAGAAAAUAAAAGGUUGGCCAAUGCAGAUUAAUGAGUCUGUUGGCAACUUUUUUGACAAGUCGACAAGCACGAUCGCAACACCUACACGCCUUGCGGUGAUAUGGAGUCGCCAACCACCUCGAUCUAGCCAAAUGGCCAAAUUAAGAUGGGUUUUGCAAAAAAAAAAGCUGAACCGGCUAGCGGAGCCGAUUUAGAGAUCAAAAUCAGCCUCUAGGCCGAUUUAAAUCGAUACGAGGAUAACUACCCGUCUCGUGGGCAAAACGGAAGGUUUUCAAGACAAACCUACAAAGAGGUGUCGCACUCUCGCAGCGGCGGCGGACAGUUUACGGCGCAAACCGACAAAGAUGGACUAAACUAGGGUAAAAUAGAAAACAUAGUAAAAGAACGAUUCAAGUAGAUUGUAUUCGGGGGUUUUACAAUGAACCGGCCUUGUCCCUUAUAUAGGGGUUGGUCUUGCCCUCUACAAGCCCUCCUCCACGUCCAACUCGGGAUAUAUAGAAACCAAUGGAAACACGAAACAUGCCUUCUCGAGCAACGAAACCCGAGACCCGACGAAAACAGAGUCGGACUCGGACCCUGACGGUCUGACCGCCCACAUACCUGCGGUCAGACCAGCCCUACUAGCCGGUCAGACCGCCCACAUACCUGCGGUCUGACCGGCCCUAGUGAAGGAAACCCGGCACUUUCUAAACUUUGCCAAUUUUUCCCUAUUUCGUCCAUAGGUGCCAAAUUUGGGUGUAAACACAUGCCCCCCUGCUUUUUUGGUGAACAUACGUGAACCUAAAAGCAUAGAACAUGUUAUCUCAGGGCGAUAAUCCAAUUACCGGCCAUAGGACUUCCUAAGCAUCUUGCCAAAUGCUCGGGAAGUAUUUCUUCAAGUAUUUCCCAUUAAUUGCUUUCUGAAAACACCGUCUUGAAGUGUUUUCAUCUCCUUCAAAGUAUUCAAACGCUUGUCAAUGACGUCUUCAAGAUUGCUUCCUAUCAAGAUCUUGUAAUCUUCAACCGACAAGUCAUCUUGCUUGAAAUACCGAAAAGAGCCAAGAUUUACCUCAACUGGCAAAACAGCAAUUUCAACAAUGUUUUAUUACUCGACUCGGCUUAUCCAUUAGCCUGAGCGUCGUAAAGAGAAGAACACAACAACUUAAUAUCAUAAGAUUCGGCAAAACCUCUCAUUUCCUUGGACAUAAAGAAGCCCCUUUAACGUUUAAGGAUACCGAAUCUAUGAACAAUAUGCUUCAAAAUAAAGUCAAUUACCUCCGUACAAGUAAUAUUCUCGAGCGGCACGGCUUCGGCCCACUUGGUGAAGUAGUCCAUUGCAACUAGCACGAACCAAUGCCCUUUUGAUGACGAAGAAUAAAUUUGACCAAUAAAAUCCAAAGCCCAACCUCGGAACGGCCAUGGUUUGAUGAUAGGAUUCAAUAUAGCGACAUGCGCCAAAUGAACAUUGCCAAUCCGUUGACAAGCUUCACUCCCUUUAUAACAUUUGAAACAAUCAUCAAUUAUUUUCGGCCAAUGAAACCCCACUCUCUUAAGCAACCAAUUUAUCUUACGGGCCGAUUGAUGAAUUCCACGAAUCCCCUCAUGUACUACUCUCCUAGCAACUUUAGAUUGAUCAUUAUCUAAGUAAUACUCCAUCUAUUUUUCGGCGAUAUAAUAUUUGAGCGCAUGCCGCCGAAUCUUCCGAUCAACCUUAAGUGUAGGAUCUUUCAAAUAUCUAAUCAAAGGAAUUCUCCAAGCUAUUUCUAACUCAUGGGCACAAAUGUCCGAAUAAUUAAUUCGGCCUUUUAAUCAAUUGUAACGUGCCCCCCAGCCUCCUGUCUGGGAUCGGUCAGACCGGCCACGCAAUGCCGGUCAGACCACCCUGUCUGUCCGGUCAGACCGGCCAUGCAGAGCUGGUCAGACCGCCGGUCAUCACCGGUCAGACCGGCCGUGCAAUGCCGGUCAGACCGCCCCUGGUCUGUGAUUUGGCCAAUUUCAUCCAAAGACUUAAAAAUCAAGCACCGGCUUUUCUAGUAAAAAAUACUCCUUUCUUCAUAUUAUAACCAGAUGCUUGGUGUAUCAAACUAUUGGACGAAAAUCCCUCCUCUCUAGACAUAUGAAAAAAUUAUAACAUCCAACUAACAUGUCUAGAUGAAUACUAAUUCAAAUGGCUUUUAAAACAAUAAUCAUCAUGGCAUCAAAACACUUAGCCAAUUGAAGUAUGAUCAAUAAUGAAUCACCAAAGUCAUAUGUGUCACAUGCAUAGAUUCCAAUAAACUACAAAUAUAAGUAAUCGACUUGAGCAUGUAUGUAAAAUAUUAACAAUGCCAAUGUUUCUAAAGAAAACAACUCUAGAAUAUAUUAUCACAUUGACUAUUGACAUUAGCCGAAUUACUAAUAAGCAAAACUUUCAUGGUGCAAUAAUUAUAAAAUCUAUAUCUUAUAUGGUGAUCCAUAAAAACACAUACAAUUUGGCUUUAAAUAAAUAUCAAAGACUCAUGAGCCAAAUCAUACUUCAAACACAUUAUAUGCCAAUCUACCAAUUCCACUACUUAGAACUGGCAUUUGCAAGAUGUAUGUAUAAUAUUAAUUCGAUAAGCAAAAACACACAUGUACUAGAUAGUAAGCAAUGUUCUAACAUGGCAUAGGCAUAUAACGGUAAACACAAUAAACUCAUACCUUGCCUUAGCAUCCAACAAACGGUGGCUCAAAGAUGUGAUGUUGUAUCCAUCGCCGUCCGUCUCUCUUGAUUUCUUCAUAAGCAUAUUGAUGUCUUGCCCCCCAAGCAAAAUCAGUUUUCUUGAUUGCACGAUUUCGAAGGCAAGAUGAAUACCGUACUAACUUCCAUAGCAUCAUGUGGAGGAGACUUAUCUCUAAUGACCGAUGAUUCUUCUCUCAUCAAAUUGGAUUUAUCACUUUUAUGGGAAAUCACCGGUCUCUCAACUUUUACCUCUUUGGAUCUCCACACUUGCUUAGGUGUCAUUUGAGGAUCUAAAUUGUUACAUGUUUUGUUCUCCACAUCUUCGGCCUCCUUUUCUUUUUGACCUAUGGCUCGAAGACGCUGUAGCCUCUUCUUUUGAGAGCGAGAUAAGCCAGAAGGUAUCCACUUCGGCUGUGGUUGUUUUCCAGGAGCUAAGCAAUGAUUCUUCAUAUUUUUGAUCGAAGUGGAAGCUCAUGUGUUGCUCUCAAUUUUCUCACUCUUCUCCAAUGCCCCUCGGUCAAACCGGCCUCUGGGCCCGGUCAGACCGGCCACAAGCCGUCGGUCAGACCGGCUAGGAUGGUCGGUUAGACCGGCCGUUGUCUGGCGUUUUGACCAGCCAGCUGUUUUGGUCAGGCCGCCGAUGUUGACAAUAACGGCGUCGGCUUCAGUUUUCUCCGCUUGUAUAGUUUUCGCCGCAUCUCCAGUAGGUACAUGAACAUCUUGAGAUUCUUCAUUGAUAGCAACGACCUUUAGAGCUUUGGCUUCUUUCCUCACCCACACCUUCUUCACUUUUUUCACCUUUGAUCCACCGGACCGAUUCUUUCAUGGGAAACGGUCUUGUCUUGAGUUAGAAUGACUUGGUACUGUCCUAGGUGAUUGCUUCCAUUCUUGAUGACACGGCAUAGGUGAUUGAGGCAUCCAUCGCAUAUAAUACAUAAAAGGAUAACCAUAUAGUGACAUUGGAUAUGGAUACCAUGGCAUCACAACCGGAGGUUUGUAUGGAGUUGGUAUGGUUGAUGGCUCCGAUUGCUUUGAUGUUUGACCAAAUCUCUUCCUACGAGAUGAUCUUGGUCUUUUCGAAUCACUAGUUUGGUUAUCAAAUCGUUGACCAGCUAAUCCUUUCUUGUAUUUAGCCAUAAGCAUCUCAAAAGUGAGCCUCGGCUUUUUGGUCUUUUGGGAAUUAGAUGACCCAUCCUUUACAACUUUAUGAUCUUUGGCCUUCGUAUUUUUUAUCCUAUUCUUGGGCCGAGCAUCCCCAAUAAUAACACGUUUCCCUUUCUUUUUGUCAACAUCAAUAGUACUAACAGGGAGAGGAUCACUAACAAUUUCGGUCUUAGGCAUAGAUGUAACCGAAAUAGUUUCACAAGUGACCGAUGAAGUAUCAAUCGGUCUUUGCUCCAUUAAGCUCGCAUCUUUAAAAUAAUCAUGAAACUCAUGCUCCAUUUGUGACCAUGUAGAAAUUGAACUAGGAGCAAACAAACUAUACCAUGUAGAUGCAAAGUUUGACAAAGAAAAGGGAAACAACUUCAACUUAAGCAAAUCAUCGCUACCGGCCUUACCACAUUGAUCAAUAAAGCGGCCGAUAUGCUCCAUUGUAGUCAUAGCAUUCUCACCUGUGAAUUUCGUGAAGUUGAGCACCUCAAAUCCUUGCGGGUAUGUGACCAAAUCUAUAUGUUCAGGAUACGGUCUUUGAUAUGUAUGUAUAGCUACUUUGGAUUCUAUCUCACCACUAUCCCGCAAGACAUUGUCAUCAUCUUUUCCAAUAUCCACAUGACCAAUUUUUGAUUCGGUCUUAGGUGACAAUGCUAUUUCAUUUUCGCUUGUAAUACAAUCCGAACCGUCAUUUAGUUCAGCUAUACUCUCAAUGGUGUCAUUGUCUAAACUAGCAACACAAUCCGAAUCAUCACUUGGUUCGGCUAUUCCAUCAUUGUCUAAACUAAUAACACAAUCCGAACCGUCGCUUGGUUCGGCCGUAAUGGUUAUUGCAUCAUUAUCCAAGCUAGCAAGACAAUCCGAACCAAUUUUUGGUUCGGCUAUACUUAUUAUGGCAUCACUGCACAAAUUAUUAGCACAAUCCGAACCAUCGCUUGGUUCGGCUAUACAUGAUAUUGCACUUUCAUCUAAACUAGCAUUUAAGCUAUUGUCAUCCACUCGGCUUUCCUGAGCCAGAGCUUCAUGCAACACAUGAUCAAUAUCAAGAAAUAUCUGGCCAUUCAAUUUUUCUUUAAUAGAAUCAAGCAAUCCAUCAUAUGCAAUGUCGGCCAAAUCUUUGUCAGUUAUUUUCAAAUUGAAACAUCAGUUUUUAACAUCUCUAAACCUUUCAAUAUAAUCAGCAACAGAUUCAUUGUAUUUGUGCCUAACCAAUGUUAAAUCAGACAACCUAAGCUCAGUUUUACCAGUGCAAAAAUGAUCAUGAAAUUUUUGUUCUAAUUGAGCCCAAGUAUAAAUAGAAUUUGCCGGUAAAGAAGUAAACCAUGUAAAAGCAGUACCGGACAAAGAUAAAGAAAACAAGCGCAAUUUAAAAGUAUCACUAUUAGCCUCACCACAUUGCGCUAAAAAUUGACCUAUAUGCUCCCAUGUGGUCCUACUAUCCUCAGCACUAAAUUUGGUAAAUUCGGGAACUCUAUAAUUACGAGGAAACGGCACAUUAUCAUAAUAGUCAGGAUACGACUUUUGGUAAACCUUAGCACGAUUCCUAGUUUCAAUACCGAAUUUAUCCCUAAUAAUCCCACUAAUUAUUUCCUCCAUAUUAUCAGGCCUAUGUUGAUUUGGUGGUGGAUUUGGUGUCCUAAUAGGUUGUGUUUGCGGCGCAAUAUGGUUAUAUUGGCCUUGUCUAGUAUCGGGAGGAUACCCCCUAGCAACAUCAUUAUAAGCAUUAGGAACAUGUGGGGAACUUGGGGACUAUUUACAGCAGUAGAUACAGGAGGAUCAAAUG